UGCUGCAUUAAUCGUGUCGAGUUGCUGGAUUAGAUUGGAUCGUUUUUCAUAUUUUUUCUACUAGAUCGAACUUGCUUUUGGUUUUCUUGUUGUUCGUGUGACGCAGGUUUCCUUCAUCAAUCUUCCGCCGCCAAACUCCCUGCCACACCACCACCACGCCAUAAUCUUCCGCUACCACCAUAUCUUCCAUCGAGUCCUACACCGAGUCCUUCUCCGAGUUCGUGUCCGAGUCCAAUCGAGAGUGCUUUUGGAAAGUGUUUCAUAAUAGAUUGAUUUUUGUUUAGAGAUCAAGUUGUUCGGAAAGUUUUUAAAAAAAAGAAAGGAAAGAAAGAAAGAUAAAAAACGAAAAAAAAGAGAGAGAAAGAAUCAGUUUCGGAUCCACGUUGAGAGAAUUUUAGUUUCGGGUGGGUUUGACCCGUGUUCAGUAAAACGGGCGUAUCUUCUGCAUACCAACUCGGAUUUGGACGUUCUUGGACCUUUUGGAAAGCUCAUGACGAGGCGCAUCAGGAAAUAUCUAGAGCUUGGGCCUGCACGUUCACCCUCAAAUUCGGCUUCUAAGGUGGACUUUCCGAGUUUCCAAGUUGCUGCAUCCGUUUUCCGACGUCGCUGCAGCCCGGUGUUUUUCAGUUUUCUCCACCGUCCGACAUCCGUUUUGAUUGAAUUUGCCCUUUCUGGAAAGCUUGUGUCGAUACGCUUCUAACCCAUAUUUUUCCAUAUUUUUCUGAAUUUUUCUUACUGCAGCCUUUGCUGUUCUUCGACAGACCGACGUACAGUUUUCCGAUCCUUCUUUUGCGUGAGUUUCUGGGGUUAAAAAAAAAACAAGAAGAAGAAAAGAAUAAGAAGCCAAACAGAAGGCCACAAAAAGAAAAAAAAAGAAAAAAAAAUCUCAGGGAUUUACUUGUUGUGCCAUGUUUCUAUCCUACCUUCUUCAGUAUCUAGGCUUAGAUUAUUUCUGUAAUUCGUUCUUAUCGACUCCAGCAGUUAGGACUAGCAUUAUUAAGCAUAUUUUCAAAUUUGCAUUGCUGAUUUGAUUUUUUCCUAUUUCUUGCUACUCACAAAAGCCUCCAAGCUCCACAGAUUCUACACCUAGGUUAGUUUGUUACCGAGGCAUCGAUACAUUCAAUCUUCGGAGGGCUUGGUUACGCCGCUGGCCAUCACCUUCCUGUUUUGCACGGUAAGAACUCGUAAGAACUUGAUUUUUAGCUUGAGAGUUGAGCGACUUGUAGCCACAUCCUAGUUGGUUAGACCACCUGUUUUGCCGCUUUCGGAAACCCAACUUAUCAUCUCGUUGAGACAUGGGUUUGAUAUAGUAUAUUCGCAAUUUCAGAUUGCAUCCGCUAUUUAUCUUGUUCUUGCUUGUUCUUUGAUUGCUUGAAGGAACAAAGACCUUCGUGGUCAGGUUGAUCGUGCCCCCGCGUGAUCAAUAACCCUCUGGAGUUGGUGUAUCGAUUGCUAAGGCGCUGCCUUCUAGGCUGUGGUCGGAUCAUCAACGUCACCUCCUACCCAAAUCAAGAGUUCUCAACCUCAUCGAAAGAUCGGGCCACCCCGACCCAUAUCAAGGUGUCUCCAAGGCGGGGGCUGCUGCAGAGGCGCGAUGGCGGUGCAUGCCAUCCGUGCUGAGCGCCGAUGGGUGCACAGCCAUCGCGGCCUCGCCGCAUCCCUCCAGCAGGCGGUGUCAAGGCAAGGGUUGCCGCAGAGACGCUGUGGUGGUGCAUGCCAUCAGUGCUUAGCGCCGAUGUGUGCACUGCCACAGCGCCCUUGCCGCAUCCCUCCAGCAGGUGUUACAAGUGCAGAGCUACUACGUUCGACUAGAGAACAAACAGCUAAGUGCAUUAUCCUAGGCGCCUAGCUUUCUAAUCUCAACGCUGGCCGCUGGCUCGUUGGUGUGGGUUGGGUCUUGUGUGUGGCUGGAGUGUUGGAAGGAUGCUUGCGGGGGGAGUACGCUCCUCAUGCGGCUUGCAGGUCCGUCCCGCAGGCGCGUGCUUGGGACUAGCUAACCCGCAAGUGGAGUGGCUCGCCGCUGCUGCCUAACCCCAGGUCGGCACUGCCGGUCCGUCCCGGGUCCCUGGUCUGGUUAAGUGGGUAGCGUGCGAGUCCCCGGCAACACAAAGCAUAACACACGAGGAUAGGAAGACCCACCCCGCGAGUCAAUUUCAGGAGCAAAUACCAAGUAGAACCAGAAAGCGGAAUUUCUAAAAGUAGCAAACGAUUACAUGGGAUAAUGAAACCAUAAUUGUUUAACGGCGCCAAGCGCCACUUGCAGGAAACAAAAAUAAAACAAAAGAUAACGGGGGACUACGAUGACUUACUGCCGGGGUCUUCCGCUGGAGGCUCCGGCUCCGGCUCUAGCUCCGGCUUCCGCUUCAUCCGCUCCACCACCUCGUCGACGAACCUACCCACCGCCCUGGUGUGGGAGGGGCCAUCCUCAUUGUCCGACCACGCGUCCAGCAGCACCUCGAAGGAGAAGUCGGGGUGGUAGUAGUGCACCCGGGGGAGGAUCGUCUCGGUGAUCUCCCUGGCACACGAUGCUAUCUCCCCGUCGCAGAACUUGGAGAUCCACACGUCCAGCGCCCCGAGAUUUCCCACCAUGUCGGAGAAGAACGGGAUCAGGGUGCUGACGUCCGUGCCGUCCACCUUCGCCACCUGCAGCUCGAACCUCGGCGACAGCGCGCGAACAGCCUAGGCGAUCUCGUGUAGCUUCUCGGUCUCCCUCCGCUGCUGCUCCGCCAACUUGUCGUGGUUGGUGCUUGACAACGCCACCGCAAGCUUGGCCUUGCGGAGGAUUUCCGUGAGUCGCACGAUCUCCUUGGUCUUGCCCACAUUGUCCUCGCCAGUCUUGACGAGCUCGCCCUGGGCAGUGGUCACCUCGGACUCGAGAUGGGCGCUCCUUUCCUUGGCGGAAUUGAGCUCCCCCGCGAGUCCGUGCUCCCGGGUCCGGAACUGCUCCUGCAGCUCCUUCUCCCGCCGCGCCGACGCCGCUGUCGCGUCAUCUGCAACCUUGGCCUGCUCCUCCAGCUUCGCGCGCAACGCUUGGAGUUGGGAGGAGUAGCCGCUGACCAGCUCGCUCUUCUCGUUGAGGCGAGCUUGAGCUGUGGCCAGCACGUCUUCGUGCUCCUUGUCGGCCUUCUCCCACACCGUGGCCAGCGAGUCCAGUACCUGCUGGUGCUCGACGCGCUGGGCCUCCAGCUGCCGAAGGAGCUCCGCCUCGGGGACGACUGGCGUGGUAGCCUCGUCCCUGGCCUGCCGGGCCAGCCGGGUCUCCUCCCUUAGCCGGGAGAGCUCCUGCCUCUCUCUCUCGACAUCCAGCCGCACCUCACCCGGCUUGAGCUUUGCGAGCUCGUGGUGCUCACUCACCUUGCUGAACGAGGUUUCGAACGCUAGCAGCUGCUCCUUGAUGGCGUCGAGGAAUUGAUGCCCCUGAUCGUAGAUGCUUUGGUCCCAUGUGAUUGGGUCCCAAGUUGCCCCGGCAAGAAUGCCGAGGUCUGGGCUGGAGGUAGAGGCGGACGAUGACGAGACCCCCGCUGCCAUGGUUUGGCCGGGGGGGAGCACCGUCCCCUUGCAGGGGGGCUGCCGACUGCUCCUCAGCCACGUUCUCCUCCACACCCGCACCCGUGGGUGCGGGUCCGGUGGAGAGCCCACGCUCCCGGCAGGAGUCGUCUCCUGCUGGGCAGCCGCCGGACUCGCGCCCUCGGCCUGCAAGGCCGGGGACGCGCCGCUGGGUCCUACUCCGGUAGCGGCGGCAGGCACCACCACCGUCACGUCUGGGGCGGCGGGGCUUGUCACGGGAGCCACCUCCGGCUCGUCCCUCAACUCUGCGUCCUCGACGUCAGAGGUGAGGUCGAUCACCGUAUCGUCCGCCCCUGUGGGGGGCGCAUCGGGACCUGCGACAAGGGCAGAGUAAGUACCUCAAAUCAAGAUGGGGUACCCGGCGACGAGCGCAAGGGAGUUCUGGAUGUGUACCUUGCAGGGUCGCCACGCUUGCGGGGGGAGGCUUGUCCUCCUCUGUCCCGGCUUCUGCUGUCGGGUUGUCCCCCGCAGGCUGCGUUUCGCCUGCCAGCCAAGGCAAACACACGGUUAAGGGUCAACGUGUAGAAGGAGCAUGUACAAUGGAGUCAGGAGAGGGCUCGGUACCUGCUGCGGGCUCCUCCUCCUCUGGGACCGGAUCGGCGGCAGGCGUAGUGGCGGCGCCGCGGGUCCUUGUGCCGGUCUGACGGGCACUGGCACUGGCCCGGGUGUGCGGUUUCUUGCUGGGCGCGGUUGGUGCAGUGUUGGUCCUCCCCCUCUUGCCGGCAAGGCGUCAACAAAGAAAUGAAGGAAUCAGGGGCAAGCGCAAACUCAUAAAUAGAAGGGGGAAGAAAACGUCAGCUUACCUUGGGGGGUUGAGCUUGAGCGAGUAACCCGUGAAGAUUCCCCGCUUGGGUGGGGCCGUGGAUCCUCGUGGAGUUGCCACAGCCCCAAUUGCCGCGGCAGCCCACGGGGCGCCUGCAACCGUUGCAGGGGUAGUUGCUGCCGUCGGCACUGCCGACGCAGUCGGGGCCACUACGGCAAUAGGACCCGCGAGAGAUGAACUCCCGCGGGUUACCCCGGCCGCCGGCGCUCUUGGUCGCCACACCAGCGGCACGUCGUCCUCGUCCUCCACCUCCGCCUCGGGGAGGACCGUCCGGGCUUCGGCAACGCCGCCAGCUUCGUCGCCGGAGGACUCGUCGCCGGGCCAGCUGGAAUCCUAUCCCCCCUCGCUCUCCUCGGCCACGUGCUUCCCACGGGCAGCGGGUGGCAGAGGCUUCGGGGCUGGGACCGGGGGAUCGGACAUCAACCCCCACUCGUUGUAGGGUGGGUAGUUGCCGGUGAUGUCGUGGAGGCCCGCGACGCCGGCGUGAAGGGAUGGAGCCCCCGGGGGCAGCUCCGUGAAUGGGACGUCCUCGCCGGUGAUUCCCUUCACCCACUCCUGGAUCACCUCCGGUGUCACACCCACGCUUUGCAGGCGCGUGGUGUUGCCGGGCCCCGUGUACAUCCACGCGGGGCGGGACCGCAGCAGCAGUGGCAUGAUGCGCGGGCUGAUGUAGGUGCGCGCCACGUCCUGAUCGGUGAGCCCCGCUAGACGCAGGGCCUUGAUCUUCUUGAUGAUGGGAAGGAGUUCCGCGUCUCGUCUAUAGCGGUCCCGCCAGCUGCCGUUACUCGCCGGCAGCUCGGUGGGCGCAUGAAUGAACUCGUCGGGCUCAUCCACGCGAACCCAACACCAGCUCCCGCGCCACUCCUUCUCGAUCUUCUUCUCGCUCCGCACGAUGAACUCCGACUUCAUCUUGUCGUGCACGGGUAGAAGUAAUGGCGGAACAACGCCAACAAUGGAAUCACCACGACAAACCCCUCAUAGAAAAAUUGGAAGACGGCGAGAAGGAAGAGGGAAGUGGGGUGGAGCUGCGCAACCUUAAGCUGGUACGCCGCCAUGAGAGCAUGGACGAAGAGGGAGUACGGAGGUACGAACCCAACGAGGAUGAAGCGGCCGAACACUCGAAAGUCAUUGUCCUGGUGGUCGCCGUCGGCGGGGAAGAUGAGCGUCGCGCCGUACUCGUUGAACGAGGUGGCGAUGGCGUGCCGGAUCUUGUCGACCCCCUCGCCGUUGUAGCCGGGCAUGAAGAAGGCCCGCGUGGCCCUCAUCUCCCGGUUCUUCUGGUCCUUCUCCGACAAGGACUUCUUUGGGGCUUUCUCGCCCUUGUCGACUGCAGAGCUCGUGGAACCCUGCCCUCUCUUGGGGGCCUUGGGCACCAUGGAGAAUGUGGGUGGUGAUGAACAGGAUUAGGGAGCGCGAGGAGGAAUGGGGAUGAGGAAGAUGAACUCGGGGCUAAGUGAUUACCCCUCAAUGCAGUGGUGGGGUUUUAUAGCAUCCCAGCGCUGAGCAACGGAUACAUCCACACCCUACGGGUGCGCUGGGGAUAACUACGUUUUAAGAGGGAAAUGCGAGACGUGGCCUUAAUCACCCGCGAUUAAGGGGAAGGUUAGGGCGGAAAUCUCGCCCCCACCGCUCUGCCCGUAACGGCGGAGUCCCUGGAGCGGCGCAUGGUCGGGAGCCCGAAACGACUCGGACCCACACGUCGGUUAGGGCGUACCCCGGCGACCAAGGAUGAUUUCGCCGGGGAACAGGCGUUGCCGGCCCAUGCCCGGGGGCUACUGUCGCACCAGUGGCACCCGGGGUACCACCGUUGCUCAACGCGUGGGUCGCCUCACUUGCUUCCUGCAAGGACGGCACCCUGGGCAGCGCGGUGCGAGCUGCCCGGGAAGGCACCAGCCCGGCAGGAGCCUGGGAAGGGGGUUUCCGUGGACCAGGACUAGCCGGGCUGUGGGGGUUAUGAUGAGGACAUCCCAACUAAUGAUACAACCACAGCCCCUACAGCACCUACACCUCAAGUACCGGAGAUACAUGGACUAAUUACUAGAGCUCAUGCACGACAACUAAAUUAUCAGGUACUUUCGUUCCUCGGUACUUCAUUUAAUAUUAAUGAGAAUAUGCUGCUGCCUAAGAUGGGUUCUUUUAUGUGUUUUAGGAAUGAAGGACCUAGCUUGGACCUCAAGGAUCAGCGUUGGACAGCAAACCAUGGAGGUGGCAGCAAGGUGGCGGGAGCUAGCUCAAGUGAUGAUUUCAGAACAUUGAAACCGCCAUAACGAGAGAUGAGAAGAAGGCCGCAUCCUCUUCAUCAAUGGGAUUUCGGCCAAGUGGAGGAUUCUCCCUCCAAUGGGUAUCUAUGGGCCAAAGAUGAGGGUUAUAACCAUGCUUUAUUGGGCCUAAGGCCAUGUAAUAGGGUCCAGCCAAUUUUUAGAUGUUUUCGUUGUGUUUUAGGAGGAUUCCUAGGCCGUUUCGGAGUCCCUCCAGGUCCUGGCCGAAAACCACCUAGUUCCCCUCCUAUUUAUACCCCAUGAGCCCCCCUAUAGAGCCUUGGGUUUUGAUUAGAUAAAGUUUAGCCUUUGCUACUUUUGUGUAAUCGCGUGUGUCGGUUAGACCACCUGUUUUACCGUCAUCAAGACUCCAACUAUAUUGAGUAUUCAGAUUCGUGAACCUUCAUAUCUCCUAUUCGCAAUUUCAGAUUGUUUUUCAUCUUGUUCUUGCUUGUUCUUCCUGCCACACCACCGCCAUAAUCUUCCGCCGCCACCAUAUCUUCGACCGAGUCCCUCUUUGAGUCCUGUACCGAGUCCCUCUUCGAGUCCUGCACCGAGUCCCUCGUCGAGUCCUCCACCGAGUCCCUCGUUGAGUCCUACACCGAGUCCCUCUUCGAGUCCUACAUCGACGUCGGCUUCGCGUACUACGCCGACGGAGCCGGCCACCAUGCCCCCCAAGCGGGCUGGUGACCCUCGGAUAGACACGUGCGAAGCGCCAGCGGCACACACGCGGUCGCAUGACGUGCGACCCGUGUCGGGGGCUCAGGAGAACCCGGAGCCCUCGCGAGUGCAGCAGUCGCAGCUGCCUCCCCCACCCCCUCGGCCGUCGGUAGAUAACCGGCUGAGGGGACCGGCGGCCCCCAGCGUCGGCGCCAGCCGGGCGAGCGGGCAUGGUGCCGCCCGCGCUGGCCAGCGAGUCGAGUCGCGGGCCGAUGACACGCAGCGACAGUGACACCAUGAGCUUAUCGCGUCACGAGCGACGCCCGGGGCUCACACCCCGCGUACCCGGAGGCGUCCGAGGCGAGAGCGGACAGCAGCCGCUCGGGAAAUCGGCUGCCUCGCGCACGAACCCUAGCGGAAGCCAUCAUCGCCGCGCAGGUCAUGGUGCGGUAUGAAUCGCAGCAAGGCACGCCAGCGCAUGAGACAUGGGGCGAGGAGUUGGAUGCGCUCCUCGCUCUGGCCGCCCAGCAGCCGCAAGGCGGGGGCGUCCCGUUAGGCUCCGGCCACGGGCAGAAUCCGGAGCGCGGAGACGCGCCCCGCGCCUCGCGACAGAGGGAAAACCCUCCCCCGCAGGGAGCCUAGGGAAACGGGGACCCAUAAGGAUCCUCGGACUCGUCGCCCACCGUCGCGCGGGGUGACGCGCGUGGCAUUCUGAAUGCCCGCCAGCAAGAGGAUCUGCGCCAACGCCAAGAGCGCCGGCAUCGGCACGAGGUAGAGCGCCAGUGCCCGGAGGAGCAGGAGGAUGCUCCUAUGGGUCCCGAGGACAGCUGCGCCGCGUUCACGCGCGAGAUGCGCCGUGUGACGUGGCCCCGCAAGUUCUGAGCGCCAGCGCUCGGCGCGUACGACGGGACCUCGAAUCCCAAGGAUUUCCUGUUGACCUACACGUUGGGGAUGCAUGCCAUCGGCGCUGAAGACAAGGUCAGGGCCAACUGGUUCCCAAUGGUCCUGAAAGGAUCAGCGAGAACCUGGCUGCUCAACCUGCCUGCCGGGUCCAUCGCCACUUGUGCAGACCUCCGCAAGCAGUUUGUGAGCACGUUCCAGGGCGGCUACAAGCGCCCGAGAACCAUGGCAGAACUGCACACCAUUGUGCAAAAACCGCGAGAGACGCUGCGGAGCUUCGUCAACCGCUUCUCCAACCUCUCCAACUCUAUCCCGGAGGCGGAGGCAGCUAUCAUCGCUAACACCUUCGCCAUCAACAUCCGUGACCCCAAGAUGCACGAGAGGCUGAGCACGCAUCGGAUUCGGACGACGCAGGAUCUAUAUGCCCUGGCGCACAAGUGCGCCAUGGCCGAGGAAGGGCGCUUAGCGCCCGAGCUAGCAGCCAAGGCUGCCGCGAGCCCUAGCGAGGGUUCGCAGAAGAAGGGUUCCCGCAAGCGCAGCGGGAAGCGGGUUCUCGCUGUGGACUCGGGGGCUCCUGUCGCGAGGCCUGCAAAGAAGGCCUCGCUGGGUGGCGGGUCUGGUGGCAAGCAGGGUGACGCGCCCCGCUGCGCAUUCCACAACAACUCCACCCAUGACGCGCAGGACUGCCGCAUCCUGCAAGGGAUCAAGUAGCGGCGGGAGCAGCACCAUGAGGAGCGUCGUGCUGCUGGCGCCUGCUUCAACUGCGGUGACAUUGGGCAUCUCUCCCGAGAUUGCCCUAACGACCCCAGAGCGGGGCCGGUGCCUGCCGACGGCGGUGCCGGCAGGGACGAACCCCAGGGGGGCCGCGGCCAGGCCCGCGCGGGCAGGGAGCGCCCUCCCCGGCGACGCGACAGGACUCGCGCUGAGGAGUAGCACGAGUCCGAUUGCACUGGCGGCGACGAGCCGGGCUUCCAAGAGCCUCGCGGCGUCGCCUGCAUCCAUGGGGGAGCCUAUGCUCUCCCAUCACAUGCCGCGGUGAAGCGCCUCGCCCGCGACGUGUGUGUGUUGUUGCUGGAUGCGGAGCCACAAUAGCCGCUGAAGUGGUCGCAUGUGCCGAUCACCUUUAGCGCCGACAAUCACCCAGCGCGGCAGUUGGGUUCAGGGGUAAUAAUAACCUUCGUCGUCUCACCGAUCAUCAGCAAUAUGACGGUGACCAAGGUAUUGGUCGACAACGGAGCGGGGCUUAACCUCCUGUCCGCUAGGCUGGUGGAGAAACUCCAAGUGCCGGUGGAGCAGUUGAAUCCCACCGACCUGUUCCGGGGGGUAAACCCCGGGAUCAUGCGCCCUCUAGGGCGCAUCACGCUGCCAGUAACCUUCAGGUCCCGGGAAGUGUUCAGGACCGAACACAUAGUAUUCGACGUGGCACACACCCCGUUGUCUUACAACGGGAUCCUUGGUCAGCCAGCGGCUAUGCAUUGCGCCUUUGGCGUGAUGAAGAUGCCGUCCGUAUAUGGAGUUCUCUCCAUCAGGGGCGACCUCAAGGACGCGGCCUGGUGCGUUGGCGAGGUCGUCAGGGACGCCGCCGCGGCUGACGCCGGUGACGAAGACGUUGCCGGAGGCGACAGCUCGCCGGGCGAUGCACCGGCGACGAAGAAGGCCCGCGCUACCCUGCAAGAGCUUGCCGGGGGAAGCGCAGGCUCGAGCUCGUGCCCCGGCAAGGGACUGAAGCUCCGGGAGGAGGUUGCCAAGGGGAAGAAGCUGCCCCUCCAAGCCGGCAACAAGGAACGCACCGUCACCAUCGGUGCGAACCUUACUGCCGAAUAGGAAAGCGCCCUCAUCACUUUCCUCCGGGAUAACGCCGACGUGUUUGCUUGGGAACCAUCGGAUCUUCCCGGAGUCCCCAGGGAGGUGAUUGAGCAUCGGCUCGCGGUGCGCCCGGACGCGCGCCCCGUCAUGCAGAAGAUUCGACGACAAGCGCAAGAGCGUAAAGAUUUCAUCAAGCAGGAGGUGGACAAGCUCAAGGCUGGCGGGGCUAUCAGGGAAGUUAUGUACCCCACUUGGAUAGCUAACCCUCUAGUAGUCCCUUGCAGGGAACAAGCUCCGCAUGUGCGUAGAUUUUACUGAUCUUAAUCGUGCAUGCCCCAAAGAUCCCUUCCCUGUACCCCGUAUCGGUCAAAUAGUUGAUUCUACCGCUGGUUGUGACUUGCUGAGUUUUCUGGACGCUUUUUCCGGCUACCAUCAAAUUAAGAUGGCGGUCGAAGAUGAGGAAAAAACAGCAUUCAUUACCCCGGUUGGCUGUUAUUGUUAUACAUGCAUGCCUUUCGGGUUGAAGAACGCGGGCUCGACAUUUCAGCGCGUGCUGCGCGAGUGUUUGGGACCCCAGCUAGGCCGCAACAUGGAGGCCUACAUGGACGACAUCGUCAUCAAAUCGAAGCGCGAGGACUCGCUGAUUGAUGACCUGCGGGAAACGUUUGAUAACCUCCGCAGGAUCAAGCUCAAGCUGAACCCCGAGAAGUGCACCUUCGGUGUGGAGUCGGGUCAGCUUCUGGGUUUCUUGGUUUCACACAGGAGGAUAUAAGCCAACCUGAGCAAGAUAGAAGCCAUCGAGAAGAUGGACGCCCCCCGCAAGGUGAAGGAUGUCCAGCGCCUCAACGGCUGCGUUGCCGCGUUGGGCCGCUUCAUCUCAAGGCUGGCGAACGCGCCCUGCCUUUCUUCAAGGUGAUGAAGAAGAAGGGUCCGGUUGACUGGACCCCCGAGGCCGAAGCAGCCUUCCGGGAACUCAAGCAGUACCUGAGAUCGCCGCCCGUCCUCGUCGCCCCCAAGCCGGGCGAGCCGCUGCUACUCUACCUAGCGGCGACUGACCAGGUGGUCAGCUCGGUGCUGGUUGUCGAGAGGGAGGAAGAUGUUCCAGGGACUAAGGCGGUGGGGCAGUCGGCUGAGCGGCCCCCAGCAACCGCCUCGGACCAAGGGACCACCCCCGAGCCGGCAGCUCCUGCACCGCGUAAGCGAUUAGUGCAGCACCCGGUGUACUUCGUCAGCAUAGUGCUGCGCGACGCGCGAACGAGGUACCCACAAGUGCAGAAGCUCCUCUUGUGCACCAUUACUUCCAGGCGCACAGCGUCACGGUGGUGUCGGGGUUCUGCCUCGAGCGAGCCCUCACCAACUGUGAAGCCACCGGGAGGGUGGCCGAAUGGAGGAUGGAGUUGUCGGAGUUUGACCUCCACUUCACAACCUCCAAGAGCAUCAAGAGUACGGUCUUGGCGGACUUCGUCGCGGAGUGGACGUCGACGUGCGUGAGAGAGGAUGAGCCGAAGACCAACCUGCCCGGCAAGCUGGACGAGGACCACUGAUCCUCUACUUCGACGGUGCGUUCAGCCUCCAAGGAGCUGGCGCCGGGGUCGUCAUCAAGUCACCGACAGGGGACCAGCUGAGGUUCGCUGUCCAGCUCGAUUUCCUGAACUCCACCAACAACACGGCGGAGAACGAGGGUUCGCUCGCCAGGUUACGAGCAGCGAUCGCCCUCGACAUCAAGCGCCUAGUUGUUCGCGGGGACUCCCAGCUCGUGAUCGACCAGGUGAAAAAGGACUACGACUGCCCGCAGAUGGCGCCGUAUGUGGAGGAAGUCCACAUGCUAGCACGCAAGUUCAAAGGUCUGCGAUUCGAGCACGUCAAGCACAAGGACAACUUCACGGCUGACGAGCUGUCCAAGAUGGCAGCAGAGCGCCGGAAGCCUCCGGCGGGGGUGUUCUGCCAGAAGCAAGCGGCUCCUUCCGUAGCCCCUGAGCCGGCUGCCGGGGACGCCCCUCUGGCAACCGAAGGAACCCCCGCAACAGCAGGGGUCUAUGCCGCUAACAUAGCGGCAUGCGUUGGCAGGGAGACCCCUCCCUGGACGGUGGAAAUCGCCCGCUACUUGAAGGAGGAGGCUCUCCCGAAAGAUGACAUUGCCGCGGAGCGAGUAGCGCGGCAAGCAAAAAUGUACACUGUGGUGGAUGGAAACCUCUACCACAGGCGUGCAAACGGGGUCAAGCUCAUCUGCAUGCCGCAAGAUGAAGGGCGCGUGCUGUUGGAGGAGAUACAUCGAGGCACAUGCUCACACCAUGUGGCCUCCCGGGCUUUAGCCGGCAAGGCGUUUCGGCACGGUUUCUACUGGCCCACGGCCCUAGCCAACGCGGAGCGGCCGGUGAACACGUGCGAAGCGUGCCAAUUUCACUCGAAGAAGAGCAACCAGUCGGCGCAGGCCCUACAUGUCAUCCCUUCCUCAUGGCCGUUCGCGGUCUGGGGGCUCGAUAUCGUCGGCAAGCUACCGAGGGCAGUUGGUGGUUACGAAUAUUUGUUCGUGGCUGUCGACAAGUUCUCCAAGUGGGUGAAAGUGGAACCAGUGCGGAAGGUGAUCGCCCAGGCGGCCAUCAAGUUUUUCAAGAGCAUUGUGUGCCAGUUUGGUGUGCCUAACAGCAUCAUCACCGACAACGGCACGCAAUUCACGAGCGCAGUGUUCCAGGCCUACUGCGAGUCGCGUCCGUUGCUCAUCCGAAAAGUAACGGGCAGGCGGAGCGAGCCAACGCAGAAGUGCUGCGGGGGCUCAAGACGAGAACCUUUGACAAGCUCAAAACCCACGGGAAACACUGGGUUGUAGAACUCCAGCCCAUGCUAUGGUCAAUCAGGACCACACCUAGUCGGGCAACGGGCGAAACUCCUUUCGCCCUUGUCUACGGGGCAGAAGCGGUGCUGCCCCUCGAGCUCAAGCACGGAUCUCCCCGAGUACGCGCGUACGGCAACAACAGCCAACACGAGCAAAGGGUCGACGAUCUAAACUUCAUCGAAGAGCUUCGAUGCGGGGCUGCUGUGCGAGCCGCACGCUACCAGCAGGGACUCCGUCAUUAUCACGACAGGCGAGUCCAUCCCCGGGGGCUCGAGAACGGAGACCUUGUCCUGCGCCGGAUACAAGGAACGAAGGCCGGAAACAAGUUUACUCCGAAAUGGGAGGGGCCCUUCCGAGUAAUGCAGGUGACCAGACCGGGGGCUGUCCGGCUGGAAAUCGAAGAUGGCUUGCUGGUGCAAAAUAGCUGGAAUAUUGAGCACUUGCGCAAGUUCUACCCGUGAAGCGGCUUAGCUCGACCCUCAGGUGAUGCCGCCGAUGCAUACCUAUCGAACUAGUGUAGCCAGGCAGCCCCCGUGUGUAAACCAGUAGUUACUGUGAAUAAAGAUAAGUAUUUCUUUCCUGAACUUCAAAGUUGCCUUGCUUAGUUGUGUGUUCCCCCCUUCUUCUGUCUCCUGCUUUUGGUGCACGGAAGUGUCUUUCCAUACUUGGUUCUGAGCAGGGGGCUGCUGGAGCCUCGAAAGCGAAAACCGAAAACCCUGUUGCCGGAUCACUCCGCCACGGGGCAUGCAGUCGCUGGGUUAACCGUCACGCGCAUCUUGGGACAUGUAGUUGCCGGGUUCCCCGCAACGUGCAUCACAGGACGUGUAGUUGCCGGGCUCCCCGUGACGUGCACACCGGCUGGGAAAUAGGAUGCUCACAUCCAAGUUUGGCAUCAACCCUUCCGUGCCCGCGGGCGGGGAGGCAGGAGAUUACUCGUGUUGCUUUCGGUAUUUUCGUGAAUUUCAAAAAAAAAAAUUGCAGCACCUCGGGCCUGGUAAGAAUCUAAUCUGCAGGAAAACGUGGAACCUUGUGCACUGUAAUACCCGUGGGCUGCCCACGGGUCGCGGCAUGCAGCAGUGCCUUGUGGUGCGGAACGACCGCGCCUUGAGGGACUCACCGCACUCCGAGGCUCUUGACUCAGGAGGGCGCCGCCACGUGUGCCACAGCAACUUGGCAUGCAGGUUGGCGAAGACUGCACCACAUUUCAAGGGGAGGGAUGCCACGGGUGCUACGCUGAUCCGUCGUGCGCGGUGGCGAGCCCUUCCCCCGGGCCUAUAAAAAGCGCGCCCCAGCCAUGGAACAGCUCAGAGCGGAGCCAAGAAAGGGGCUAUUAAGACGGGCGGUGCCGCGGAGGCGCGAUAGUGGUGCAUACCGUCAGCGCCUGGCGCCGACAGGUGCACUGCCAUCGCGCCCUUGCCCCAUCGCCCCAUCGAGCCCACUCCGAGGGGCGUCGCAGAGGCACGGUGGGAGUGCAUGCCAUCAGCGCUCCGCGCCGACGGGUGCACUGCCACCGUGCCCUUGCCGCGCCUCCUCUAGCGAGCGGCUCCUGGACGAGGGCUGCCGCGGAGGCACUGGGGUAGUGCAUUCCAUUGGCGCCCGGUGCCGACAGGUGCAGACUACCGCAGUGCCCCUGUCGCAUCCCUCCAGAGGACACCUCCGCAAGGAGCAGGGGAUGCCGCGGGGACACUAUGGUGGUGCAUGCCAUCGGCGCCCCACGCCAACGGGUGCACCAUCAUAGUGUCCCUGCCGCGUUUCCCUAACAGAGCGCCACUAUAGGCGAGGGUCGUCGCGAGGACGCUGUGAUGGCGCCGGUGCCGGCGUUCGCCGUCUGUUCCCGCCCAUAACCGAGUCCCUGCCACGGCCCUCGAGCAGUUUUGCUCCCAGGCAACAAGGGCUGCUGCGGGAACAUCGUGGCGUCGUUGCCGCCCGCUUUUGGCGGUUGCGGCCCUCAGACGACUUUUUCCCAAGCAGCGAGGGCUGCGGGGGGACGCCGUGACGUCCUCGUCGCCCGCGGUCAGCGGUGGUGCCGAGGAAGUCACGGCAUCCCUGCCGCACCCCUCGGAAAAGGCUCUUCUGAGGGCGAGGGUUGCCGCGGCGUCCCCGCUACUUCCCUUUAUCAGGCACUUUGCAGGGACGGCGAGCCAGGAGUGUACCUCCGGCGAACGCUUCGGGCGCAAGACUGAACGAAAAGCUAAGUGCUAACACCUAAAUGGCAAACCCACUAAGAACUGAACAUAAUUGAACGCUGCUUCGCCAAGCGUGGCCCCAGAACCCGCGCGUGGUCGGAGUGUUAGAAGGACACUUGCGGGGGGAGUGCGCUCCUCGUGUGGCUUCCCGGGUCCGCCCCGGGAGGGCACGGCUUGAAGUAGUUACCCCGCAAGUGGAGUGGCUCCCCGCUACCGCUUGACCCCAGGUCGGCACUGCGGGUCCGUCCCAGGUCCCUGGUCUGGUCAAGGGUGAGGCGCGCGAGUCCCCCGCAACACAAGGCGAAACACGCAGAGGCUAAAGGAGCCACCCCGCGAGGCAACCCCGGGAACAAGGGACAAGAAUUAAGCAAAUUAAAGAGCUUGAUUAACUAAGUGUUGGAUGGUUACAUAAGCUAAUGGAAAAAUAAUUGUUCAAAUAGCGCCAAACGCCACACUUGCAGGAAAAAGCGAACGAAAGAAGAUACAUCGGAAAGCAGCAAGGACGGCUUGGGGCCACGGCAACUAGUUGCCGGCGUCUUCUCCCGGGGGCUCCAGGGACGGCUCGGGGUCCGGCUUCCGCUGCAUCCGCUCGACCACCUCGUCGACGAACCCGCGCACCGCCUGGGUGUGCAUGGGCUCGUCCUCGCUGUCCGACCAGGCGUCUAGCAGGGACUCGAAGGGAAACUCCGGGUCCCGGAGGUGUAUCCUCGGGAGGAUUGUCCCGGCAACCUGCCGGGCGCAGUUGGCGACCUUGUUACCUGCCGGGCGUAGUUGGCGACCUUGUUGGCGCCGAACUGGGCGAUCCAGAUGUCAAGAGCCCCAAGCUUCCCCACCAGGUCGGAGAAGAAGGGGAUCAAGGUGGAGACUUCCGUGCCGUCCACCGCCGCAGCCUGCAGCUCGAACCGGGGCAGCAAGUCGUGCAGCGCCUGGGCGAUCUUCAGCAGCUUCUCGAUCUCUAUAUGCCAUGGUUGAGCCGAGCAUCGUGCGCGGCCUUCUUGGCCUUGCGGAGGUUGUCCCCCAACGCCGCGAGCUCCGCGGUCUUGACCACGAUGUCGUCGCCAGCCUUGGCAAGCUCUUCCCGGACUGCGGCCAGCUCGGUUUCGAGCCUGCCCAUCCUGUCCUUGGCGGAGCCAAGCUGGAUCCCAUGCCGAGCCGCUGCUCCUACCGCGUCCUCGGUAGCCUUGAUCUGCACUGCCAGCUUGACGCUAAGGCCCUGAAUCUCGCCGCGAUAAUUAGCGAUCAGGUCGCUCUUCUCGUCCAGCCGGGCCUGGGCUGUUGCGAGCACCCCGGCGUGCUCCUUCUUGGUUGCCUCGAGGGCUGCCGCCAGCGAGUCUAGCGCCCCCUGAAGCUCCGUGCGCUGGGCCUCCAGCUGCCGGUGGAGUUCAGCCUCCGGGACGACCGGUUCCUCGGCGUCCUCUAGGGCUUGCCGGGCAAGGCGCGCAUCCUCCUUGGCGAGGCGCGUCUCCUCGCGCAGCCAGAAGAGCUCUUGCCGCUCCCUCUCCACGGCUUCCCGCACCUCGCCAAGCUGGCUCUUCGCGAUGGCGUGGUGCUCCCUCACCUCGUUGAAAGAGGUGACGAAGGCCUGCUGUUGGUCCCUGACGGCGUCCAGGAACCGGUGUCCUCGCUCGAAGACACUCGGAUCCCAGGUGAUGGGAUUCCAAGCCACCCCGGCAAGGGUGCCGAGGUCGGUGUUGUGAAGGGCAGCCGAGGACGACAAAGCCCCCGCUGCCAUUGUAGGGCUGUGCGUGGGGUCUCCUGCUUGCUCCAGGGGAUCCUGUCGUCCUUCCCCGGCAGCUUCCCCUUCCCACGCGCGCGGGGACCUCGGGGCUGGAGAAGCCUCCCUGCCCUCGGCAGGAGCCGUUCCCUGCUGGGUGGCAGGCGAAUCCACGCCAACCACAUCCGCAGCUACUAGCGCAUCAAGUGUCGUCCCAGUGGUGACGAUGGCCACCACUGCUGUUGUCGUCGGCAUGGCAGGGCUUGGUGCAGGAGCCGGUACCGGCUCCUCUGCCGCCCCCGUGAUCUCGACGUCAGGGUCAAGAUCAACCACGGUAGCGCCCGCUCCCUGUGCGGGCGCGCUCGUGCCUACAACAAUAAGGAGUGUGAGGAUCGACAAGUAGAAGAGCUAUCGGAAGCGGACAAGGGUGGCCGGGGCGGUUACCCUGCAAGGCAGAUGGACUUGCGAGGGAGGCUUCCCCUGCCUCACCUAUGCCGGCAGGAGCCUCCGAGAGGCUUGUCUCGGGCGAGCUGUCGCUUGCUGAAAAAGAAGGUACGUUUGUAUGGUUAACUAACAACUGAAAAAUGCAGCAAAGGUGGAGCAAAGGAGCCGUACCAGUUGCCGGCCCUGCCCCCGUUGGGGCUGGGUCGUCGGCGGGCGCAAUGACGGCACCACUAGCCCCUGUGUCAGUCGGGUCAGCGGCGCCGCAGGCGUCCGCGCAAACCCUCUUGUUCGGCGUGGCGGGCGGGGAGUCGCUCCUCCCCCUCUUGCUGACGCUCGCCGGCGAGUUGGUCCUCGGGGGGUUGCGCCGAAGCACGAAGCUCCGGAAGACCCCCCGAGCGGGCGGCACCGUAGGUGCCCGCUGGGUCGCCGCGACCCGGGGCGUCGCGGAAGUCUAUGGCGAAGCCGCCGCGGAAUUAGGGGCCGACCCAGGGGAGGCUGCCGACGCAUCCCCGGCUACUGUUGCUGCUGAAGCUAUUGCUGGGUCGCUGAUGGUCCCCGCCGAGGCAUCGGCAGGUGCCACCGGAGCAGCUGCCGCCACGGUGCUAGGGCGGAUGUCGCCGCCGUGGCUCCGGCGACCCCCGCGGACGUGUGCGUUGCCGAGGCACUGGGAGGCGCCCCUGAGGUGGCCGCCGCCACAGUGCUGGCGGCCGCGGCUGGGGCAGAUGCCGCCGCCGAGGCUCCAGCAACCCUUGCGGACGCGGUCGCCGCCGAAGUACCGACGAGCGCCCCUGAAGCGGCUGCCGCCGCGGGGCUGGCGGCCGCUACCGGGGCGGAUGACGCCGCUGAGGAGAUAGCCGCAGCCGUUGCAUACGCCCUUGAUCUCCGAACGAUCAGGGGCGCAUCGUCGCUGUCCUCAUCGUCGUCGUCCACAGGGACAACUUCCGGGGACGCUGCAGCCUAGCCCGCCUCGUCAUCCAGGGACUGGAGGGAGGGCCAGCUGAUCUCCGACUCGCCCCCACUUCCCGCGAGGUGCAGGCAGGGGAGCGCGGGGGAUCCGAGUGGGGGUGUCGUCCAUCAACCCCCACUCGUUGCAGGGCGGGAAGGCGGCGACAAUGUCGCUGAGCGCCGAAAUGCCGGCAUGGAGGGAAAAGACCCCCGGCGGGAACCUCGUCGAUUGGAAGGUACGCGCCACGUCCACAUCGGUGAGCCCUGCUAGCCGCAGCGCCUUGAUCUUCUCCACGAUGGGGAGGAGAUCGGCGUCGCGGUGGUACUUGUCCUGCCAGCCGCUGUGGGGUUGCGGCAGCUCCGUGGGCGAGAGGAUGAACUCUUGGGGAUCUUCCACUCGGACCCAGCACCAGUCGCCCCGCCACUCCUUCUCAAUCUUCUUCCCCGACCGGGUGAUGAAGUCAGACUUCAUCUGGUCACGGGUGCGGAACACCACCCCCGACGACAUCGCCUUCGCGUUGUCAAUCUGGGGGUAGAAAUAGUGGUGGUAGAGCGCCACUGAUGGCAUCACCCCCACGAACGCUUCGCAGAGGAAUUGGAAGCUGGCGAGAAGGAACAGCGAUGUGGGGUGGAGCUGCGCCACCUGCAGCUGGUACGACUCCAUCAGCGCGUGGAGGAACAGCGAGAAUGGCAGCACCACCCGGUGAGGAGGAAGCGCUCGAACACCCGGAAGUCAUUGUCCUGGUGCUCAGCGCCCGCCGGGAAGAUCAGGGUCUCCCCGUGCUCGUUGAACUUGGAGGCGAUGGCAUGCUGGACCUUGUCCAGCGCCUCGCCGUUGUAGCCAGGCCGGUAGAAGGCGAGCGUGGCCCGCAUCUCCCGCUUCCUCCGGUCUUUGUCGGCGGCUGCCUUGGUUGCCGCCUCGCUCCUGCUGGCCGCCGCUCUCUUCGAGACCUGCACCUCUUUUCCCUUCCUGGUGGUGGGGGGCGCCAUGGGGAACGGAGGUGGAAUCUAGCAAGAACACUUGGAUGCGAGAUGCGAAGGAGGGUGAAGGCGAAGGCUGUGGGGAGCAGAGUGUUUUCCCCUUUUGGCAACAGUAAAAGCUUUAUACCGCCCGGCCGUUUGGUAACGGCCGGUUCCGUACCCUACGGGUGCGCGGGGAUAACUCCUAAUCAAAAAGGGUAAUGCGGGGAGUGGUCUUAACUUCCCCUGUUUAAGGGGGAGGUACCGACGUGGAAAUCACGCGCCCACUACUCCGUCUGUAACGACGUGGUACUAGGGGCAGCGAAGGGAUGCGGGCCCUAGGCAGAUCGGGGCCCACGCGUCGGUUGUGGGCGCUACUGUCGCACCAGUGGCACCCGGGGUACCACCGUUGCACGAUGCGUGGGCUCCAUCUCCGAGUUCCCGGGAGGGUCUCAUCCCGGGCAGUAGCCACAGGCAGCCCGGCAAGCUACCAGCCUGGAGGGGCUAGCGGGGCUUCAGGGAAUAUUCCCGCCUGGACACCUCCCGGGAAGCCACUUGCCGGGAGGGGGUUCCCGGGCGUGUCAGGCCUGGGUGCCUCCCGGGAGCCACUUGCCGGGAGGAGUGGUUCCUGGGCGCAGGCUCCCUCCACAAGGGGGGGGCCCAGCGGGCAGAGCAACAGCGCCAUGUGGGCGCGUGACGGGCGUCGAGUGCGCAGUCUCGGCAGGGCGAGGAGUGAAGCGCACGGCGCAUUUAACGAGCCGACAGGAGGGAAGUUACCCAUCUAGUCGGGUAAAUAGUGGCUGUCCAGGGCUAGUUCUUAGGCCUUAGGCCCCCUUAGCUGAGGAGUUGGCACUCAUGCAUGCCACCAGCGCACCGAGGGGGAGUUGCCAUGUCUCCCUGCUCUCCACUUGUAAUGCAUGCACCGUGACACCUGUGGUAUCCCUUUGGUUAUAAAAGGAGGACCCCCGCGAAUGGUCAAAGGGUUGGUUCCACGAUCACGCAGUUUGACGGACUCCCAGUUCGCCACUAGCAGUAUCCGAAAGUAGCCAAGAGCACUUAGCCAAAAAGAGAGCACCCGGGGACUCUCCCCCCGACAACGUGUAAACCUUUGAUCUACUAUCAAUAGCAGUUCAGACAAGCAGGACGUAGGGUUUUACACCUCCGGGUGGCCCGAACCUGGGUAAAAAACGUGCAUGUAUGUGUCAUUAGCUUGCAUGUAUUCUGGGUACAUCACUUUGCAGGUUACGUACGCCAUCGGCCACGCCCUAUUUACUAAACAACAAACAACACAAUCCUCAUAUCACCCCCUCAACACCCUGUGAGGAAGCAAUCCAAAGGACACUCACACUUAAGCAGUUUAAGCAUAUCCAUGAUUAAGGCUAAAUUACUAUUCAAGUUUAUGAGAUUAAGUUGAUUAAAAUGAUUAAGUUCUCUAUGAUCAAGUAAUGACCAACCAAGUCGUCCAUAACCGCGGACACGACUUUCCAAAAGAUUUAUCCCUGCAGGGUGUGCCAAUUUACCCGUACACGUUUGUCCAACCCUUGUUGCCACUCGAGUAGGAACACACAAAGACGUGUGUCGGCAGGAUUGGGCGACACGACGUUUCCAAGCCUCACAACUAAUCCAAGGGACCACCCAACUGAGUCUAAUCCGAAACGAGAGCCCGGCCGAAGCGUUGUACGGACUCAAGAAUUGCGUGGACAGCUGGUAGUGGUUCAGUGUCCGCAGAAUGACCACUCCAGACUAGUGCCACAAUCCUAUAUGAAUGCAAAGUCACCAACAAAUCUCCACAAAUCUUUGUGUGCAUGCAAUGCAAAUGCCAAAUGGAACGCCCCAACUAGGUGGCCCCUGGAAGAGUUAUGAAACGAGUACUAAGCCGAGGGGGAACCCAUAUAUUCUCCCACGAGCGGUUAGCGCGAAGUUUCUUGGGUCGGCGAAAACGAGAACUCAGUCCUUAGGUCGGCGCCAAUGGAACAAAACACCAAUGCGUUAGCACGGCCUCCCAUCGUUGCCUUGUGCAAGUAAUAACAAGUCACAGUUUAAUAAUUACAAUUAAAUACAGAAUGUAGCACGUGGAUGUAGCAAUUGUAUAACCCCAAGUAAGGACACUAGACUAGCCAUCUAAGCAAGACUUCUAAUGACCAACUAGGGCAACAACAAACAUGUGACAUGGUAAUAGGACAAGUAACAAGACAUAGGGCAAUAAGUAGAGCUGACCAAUAAGCUAUGCAACCUAUAGGCAUCGUGACAAGACUGAGAUCGUAACUUAAUGCAAGAUUGAGGGAUAGGCGAUAGGUAUAAUCAACAUGGCCAAGGAAGGGCUGCUUGCCUGGAGUACUCAAUUGCCCCGAAUUGAGCAAGAAUCCUGAAAGAAGAACACAAGUGUAGUCGUCGUCGUAGGAAUCGCAGACUAGCGAGGAAGAAGCAAAUACACGACAUAAGAGGAAAAUAUAAGCAUACAAGAUACAGAUGAAAAUUUAAAUGCACAGUCAAAGGAUGAGGCAUGACAUAUUAACAGCAAGUGUGUAGAUGAUACACUAAUCAUAUUAAAUGGAUUGGAAUUCCUAAAGCAAUAGAAUUCCAACUCCAUAAGCAAGAGGUAAGGUGUUUUACACUAAACACUAGGUUACAGUUGCUCAAACAUGAAUGAGAAUGCCAUGAAGAGGUUCAGCAGGUCUUGGUGAUCGAAAUGCAUAUAAGGUUUGCCAAUUUUGGAAUUAGGAAACGACUUGUAUGAAUUAAACAAGUUUCAAAUGGAUUUAACCUACUGUUUAUACAGAUUUGAAGAUAUCAAGUUCAAAUUGCAGAACAGUUGGCAGAUUAAUAUUCCUUAUGUUUUUCUGACCGAAAAACAUAUAAAUUUUGCAUGAAAUGGAUGACAUAUGCAUGAGAUAUUAACUAAACAAGAUUAUGCAAUAUUCUGGAAUUUUAUUUGCAAAAACAAAACACAGGGAACUAAUCCUACUCGGGUGCAGCUAGCCCAUUAGGCUGACAGCGGGCCCGGGAAGUGAUGUGGCGCUGACGAGGCAGUGCCGGCGCCCGUGGUCACUGACCAUGGGGUCCCACCUGUCAGUUUUCGGCUAAAGAAGAAAAAGGUUGGGUUUUUUAAGGAUGGGGAUCGAACUCGGUUUGCUUGAAUCUGAUUAACGGACGAGGGAGCUAGCCAGUUGGUACAGUUAACGGAUCAUGCUAGAAAGAAGGUGCACAGCGAUUUAAACAAAGAGAAAGGCAGAGCCUUGGCGACACACGACGGCCAUGGCGUUGCGACACAGAGGCGGCGGAGGGCAGACUAGCUGCGGAAGAGCAGCGGCGCGCGGAGAGGAUCUAGUUGACGUGAAGGUCAACACAGGGCCCUUAGAGGAGCACGCGCGCGACGGCGAACAGCGGCAGAACGCGUGCACGUGGCUAUGAGGCUACGGAGCACCAAAUCGCGCACGGAAAGAAGCAGAAGGAAGAGGAGCUCACCACGAAACUGUAGGAGGAAGCUGAUGAGGUUUCGGUGGACAACUCGCCGGAAUUUUGCCAGAGAAGCGACGGUGGCUGAAGUCGGGGAAGAGGAGCUAGGCGUCGACGUAGGCGAUCCAGGUUCAAUUCCUCGCGCGUGUGCGUAGAGAACGACGAGGCGCAGCUUGUGACGCGCGAGGUUCGUCACGGUUCAGUCGGAGACGGUGGCUCGACGCGGCGGCGCCCACGGCACGGGAAGAAGGCGACGGCGGCGUGCAGAAAGGGAGGGAGGAGAGCCCACCUAGGGUAUCUCCUUGAGCUAGGGUUGAGAGGAGGCCGCGGCGGCGCUUAAAUAGGGGCGUGGAUGCUCCUGUCGCUGUCGACGUCGACGUGGUGCGAGGGGGCUCCAUCGGUCGGGAGGACGAAAGCAGAGGAGGACGACGAUGCUGUGAGAGGUGGCGCCUUCGGGAGAAAUGUGCUUUCGCUGCGGGGAAACGGAACGCAGGCGAGCGCGGGUGAAGAUGGGUUGCAGGGCGGCGUUGCGGGGCGGCGGGGCGGCGUUGCGGGGCUGCGGGCACUGCUGAGCCGAGUUGGCUGCGGGGCGCACGGGAGACGGGGCUUAGGCGGCUGGGCCGACUCGGGCCUGAGGUAGGAAGGUGAGUUUUCUUUUAUUUUUCCUUUUUCUGUUUUCUCUUUUGCAAAUAGUUUUCUGAUUCAAAUUUCAAAUAACAUUUUGAAAAGCUGAGAAGUAGGAGAAUUCAACUAUGGCACUAAUAUUUGGAAGUAUUCAAAUGGGAUUAAAGGUUUAAAACAAAACCCAUUUUUAUACCAUUUGUAAAAUAUAGGAAAACGAUUUUAAAACCCAAAGAGAAGGAAGGAAGAUUCAUAUUUGAAUCUUCUAGCAAAUUCUAACAACAAUAAUUCAAACAACAAGUUGAAUUGUAAAUUUCAAAUUUAUGGGAAGCAAAAGUAGAUAUUACAUGGCAUGGAUGCAAAUGUAAAUGUCAUGCAACAUUAAUUAAAUUACAAACAGGUCCAACAAGGGCUUAAAUGGAAAAGGGUUGCUCUCGGGCUGUUACACAAGCCGAGCAUUAAAUGCUCCGACAGGGAGGAGGUUACCCGUCUAGUCAACCUACAGUGAGUAGCUUGCAAUGAGUAGCCCGCAGUGAAUCUAGGGCACGUGUGGCCCUAGCUACAGUGCUUCUCACUAUGCAUGCAUGCCAGCGCAGCGAAGGCAGCUGCCUUGGGUCUCUGUUUGACGCGUGUCCGGGGGCGCGUCCCCCAUGCAGACUGUAGCACCUGUGGUAUCCCUUGAGUAUAAAAGGAGGACCCGCGCCACCGGUCAAGGGGUGCCGAUUUCCGAAGGUUAGACUCGAGCAUAGAUUGCAAUCCCUAGAGAUUUAGUUCAGAAGUAGCAAGUAGUCACUUAGCAGAAAGGGAAGAGAGCACUCGGGGGCUCCCCGGCAACCUUGUAAACGCUUGUUCAUUGGCUAAUAAACACUCAGAAGCAGGACGUAAGGUUUUACACCUCCGGGUGGCCCAAACCUGGGUAAACCGACUUGUGCAUUGCAGCGCCCGUCAUUGGCCUCGCCGGCGAUCGCCGAAGCGAUCUCCAACGCCCACUGCCGAACCAAAAAGGGGGUUCCUCGCAUCCCCGGUGUCUAAGCCCCGAGCUACGACACUGCCAUUGUGAGGCGCGCGGGAGUGGCAGUGCGGAAGAAGGGGGGGGGGGGGUGGGAAUGAAAUGGUGGCGGUCGCAGAAAGGAGGGCUAGGGGUAUAUCGAGGGCGGACGAGCGGAGCUCCGUUUUGACACAGAUCCGGCCCAUAUUUGGGUUGGAAAUGGGUCGCGUCAGACCAAAAAGCAGAUGUGGACGGAAAUGCGUCGCCCCGCUGGACCGUACUUUUUUCCGUUCACACCGAAACGGACCGGUCCGGCCCAAAUGGGUUGCCCUGCUGGAGUUGGCCUUAUGAUACGAAGGCUAUCAAACGCCGUUUGCAACCCAUUUGUAAACAUUUCAUGGGCAUGGUAUGUAGUCACAUGACACAUCGACUUGUUGCAUGCCCUCCUUGCAUUGCCCAGUAGCAGUUUUGGAAUUUCUACUUCAUGGCCUUUGGGCUGAUCACCGCAAACACCACAGCUUAUGCCAUUGGAGACACAAAAAGGUACUUGCAGUUACUAGCAUGAACCCCAAACGCCAAGAGGCGUGCAUUUCCAUCUCCGGCUGGAUGCUAUUGUCCCUGGCGUUUCAAUGCAAAUGUGUGGCGUUUGCAAAAAGUUAGUUCCGGCUAAAUUUUCAAACGUGAGUCAUUUCGGUAAACUUAAAAAGAGAGAGUCAAUUUUAUCAUUCUGGACGGCCACGUCUGGUAGUUUGUGCUGCAGUGAUCAAUGUGCCGUCACAUAAGCAGUUUUAGGAAUUUGUUCAGAUUACUGAAAAUCUAACAAUUGAUCAGGCCCAUGACAUCUGGUCAUAUGAGUAGUCUAAAAAUGGCUACAGCAGUGCCAAGGCAUACCUACAUCUUAUGGACCACAUUGAGAUCCCUAACACCAUCACCUAGAUUUGGGACUCAACAUCCCAACUCAAGCAUAAAGUCUUUUGUUGUCUCAUGAUCAUUGAUAGACUCAACACUAGAGCUAUGUUGCUUAAGAAAAACUUCCACCUGUAAUCAUACUCAUGUGUUAAGUCUGCAUCUGGAGACUAGGGACCAUCUCUUCUUCAGCUCCCAUUUGCUCUGGCCUGCUGAAAAUACAUAUGCCCUGCUUUCAAGCCCCAGGCAAAUGUUCAUAGGAACUUCAAACACAUCAAGCAGCUUCUGAAUGUUCCUUUUCACAUGGAGAUCACCCACACUAGAUUGUUGGAGUAUCCGGAGAACUCGCAGUGAAUUAUUAUUCAAUGGUCUCCAUCCAUGUUUAUACAGAUGCAGAAGGAUCUUCACGGAAGAACUCAACUUGGUCUUCCAUCACGCCAAGAGAAAGAUCUCUCUGAAUUUGACCAUUUGGAUUUAGACAUUUAGAUAGUUUUUGGUUAACUUUUUUGUUAGCCUUUUCAUAUUUGUACAUUUCUUUCGACAAGGGGAAACUCCCGGGCCUCUGCAUCAAGUGAUGCACACAACCAUUUUUAUUGCAAAGUUGUAGCGAGUCAUACAAUUUAGCGAUCGGAGAUCGUCGAUACAAAGAUAAGCCAGCGAAAAAAACCAAACAUAGAGAGUCUAUGCAUUAAGUCGUCUAGUAAACCGCCAUCCAGCCCGGUUGAAGAUAUCCCGUGAGACCAUCUCCAGAUGGGUGCAUUCAAUAUCCAAUGGUUCCCGCUGGUGCGAUGGGAGCAGAAAAGCCCAUACCCGAAUCCACUGCGUGGUUUUGUAGAUAAACAUGUUAAGAGCUGCUUUCAACACAGAUGAUGGAUUUUUUACUGGACUUGACACAUUAGGUAGUGUAUAUAUGCAAAUAGCCUCACUUCAUCCUCUCUUAGAUCAAGAUGCUGCAACAGUAUUGAACGAUUUUAAUCUAAACAAUUUUUAUCCUUGCAAAUGCAGAACCAAUUGUACAGUAUUGAACCUUUGCAGACGCAAAAUGAAAGCAAAGAAGAUUUACCUAAUAUACAUAUACAUCGUGUGGAAUUCAGCCUGCUAAAAACUUCAUAAAUCCCAAUUCCCACGGUCCACGUCCUGCGUAAUAAUUGCUUAGUAUAGUUGCUCUACAGAACAUGUAAUCAAGGGGAAAGGAACAAAUGGAAGCAUACAAAAGACCUUAUAUGAUGGAUGAUAUUUGGGAGUAUUAGUGGUUUCAAAAAAUUAGGCAACGCAUUUUAGUAUAGCCUUUAUAAAAGUAUCAAUAGAAUAUGUCUAUUCAAUUCAAAGCUAUUACCAUGUUGUACAUUGUUCGAUCACCAUUGAAAAUAAAUAAAAUUAGAUGAUAUAAUAACCAAAAAUUGCUUGCGUAAAUGAUGAAUGGCUCAUUAAUUCAACAUAACAUAAGUCUUCAGGAUAUUUGUGGCAACAUGUGAACUAAUGUCACCGCUCCCUGUCUACGCUUCAGUCUAUACUAAAUGUCCAAAUUAGCGUCCUUAUAAAAAAAAGUCCAAAUCAGUGAAAGAUUAGAAAGUAGAAAACUUUUGAUAUGCUAGCGAAACCAAUUAAUGACAAACUUUAAAAGAUACUCCGUCCGAUCCAUAAUAAGUGUCAUUGAUUUAGUACAAUUUUGUAAGUGUAGUUGAUUUAGUACAAAGUUGUACUAAAAUUGUACUAAAUCAACGACACUUAUUAUGGAUCAGAGAGAGUAAUAUUCAUGGAAGUAAGAACUUGUAAAUAGCACAUAUUUCACGACAACACAACGUCCAAAACAUAAAAAACUAUAUAGUAUGAAGCUGCAAAAGCCUUAGAAUUGCUCCUGGAGAUGCAUCAAUCAGAAUAUGCUUACAUGAAAAGCAAAAAAUUAAAUGGAAAUGAUAGGACAUGACUGCAUAGUUCUCUUACCCUGAGACUUCUGUCUAAAUUUUUGCAACUCCCAAAUAAGAGCAUACCUUUGUUGUAUGGAACUUUUAGAUUCCUUCAAUGAAAAAACUUUUAGAUUCAUGACCUCUGAAUGCCGGCUCAUCAAUGUCCUUAUUUUCAAAUUUUGUUGCUAGCGUGCUAGUCAUGUGGUAGUGAAUGAGGAAUUCACCAGCUAAAAUGAUGAGCAUGAAGAAAAAUAUAUUAGCAUCAAUUUUUAAACAUAGGUACCAGAGAUGUGAGAAUAGAUAGGCAAACACUACCUGACACUCUUUAAAUCAGAUGGCAAAAUUGACAGUAGCAAGCAAGGACAAUCAACAACUUUCCUAGAAGGAUUCAUUGGUAUAGGCAGUAACAUCUCUUCACUCUAAAUAAUGCAAAAUUUGCAAGGAAAAGAGUUGCAAUGUUGAUGAACAAUCACCUGAUAGAAAUUCUUUCACCGUGGCCAUGGCAGAUGUAUAUCACCUGGUAAAUAAUUCUCUUCAUACUAUCCUUUCAGCUCACACUGACCUGAACCUGAAGCAAAAUAACUGCUAGGAAAAGAAAAUGAAUUACUAUACCCCCUAUCUUAUAACAUUCAACUGCACUUUUAAUUAAUCUUAACAUUGUUCAAAUGGUUUGCUAUGGAAAACCGAAUUAAACUAAUAAAACACCAUGAUACAUGUUAGCGCAUACAAAUAUAGCAAGGUAAGAAGAUAUCAAAUCAAUUAAUGGUCAAUAACUUGUUAUCUGCUGCAGGCUUUCUCAUCCAUAUAUGACCCCUACUUUGUGUGUACUGAAUAUAUAAUGUCAAAUUCAAGGUUCUGAGAUUAUCUGGUGAAUUGAACAAAUUAUCAAAGGGAAUUCUAGGCCUAUUAAAACUUUAUAGUUUUAGGGAACUAAUGAAGAAACAUACCUCACAAUGAAAUACCGCCAUGAAAAUUGACGUGGUUCCAUUAUGAACCAUCCCACAAUUUGCAUGAGAAUUUCAAUAACUUGAGAGUAAAAUUCCAAUUACUUAAGAGAGGGAGACAGUCCCAAUUCCCAAUCUGCAUGAGAUCCAAUUAUAAUAGAGGAAUUCCAAUUCUCAAUCUUAAUGAGAAAUUCCAAAUACUUUUGUCUCAAUUCCCAACGUCUCUCAAGCAAAAUCCAGAAGCUUCUGAGGGUGUCAUAUCACCACAGAACCAUAACCUGAGAUUACAAAUUUUGUAAAACGAUAAAUCACCUUAGCACAUAGAGAAAGAUACAGUGAGAGGGAGAAAACUGUGUGAGGUUAAUGUAUAAGCUCGAAUCAGUUAUACAACAAAUAUGCAUAAACAUAGAACUGAUAUUCGAGGAAAAAACAUUCAUCUCCUUGAUUCUAAAAGACAGUGGUCAGAUCAGGCCGCGUGUGGCGGGGCCUCCGCAUCAACAUAUUCAACUCCAGUUAAAAGCCUGCGCCUGGGCGACUGCUUCGCCGCGCUGGGCGCAGCACUGGCCACCGUGGUGGAGAUGACGCUUGGGACUCCUGAAUCGCCUGUGCACUUUUACGACGUGAGCCUUUGUGGACGGCUUCAGCCGGUGUCCAUGGCGCCCAUGAGCCCUUGUGGUGAGGGUGUAGCAUGGCAGCUUGCGAGGUUGUGCUGCCCGUGGGCGUUGGAGGUUGGGGACAGGGAAGGGAAGGAGGUCGGUUGAAGGAGGAAAAAGGAAUGGCGGAGGAAGGUGAAGGGGAAUGAACAUGGGAACUUCGGCCAGGAGAAACGUCGGGAGGAAAGACGAUAGAAGUGGGCUGGCUGCUCUGGACGAUGGGCUGCACGCGGUGGGCUGGAUGUGAUGGGCCAACUUAUGAGAUGGAAUAAAUUUAUAAAUUAUAAAGGGAAUUAAAUGAAAAUUAGAAAUAGAAAUUAAAUGAAAUGCUGAUGUGGAUAGACUGCAUGUGCAGUUUGCUAAAUUAACUGCAUUUAGUGGGCUUCAACUUUAUAGAGUUUAUAGAUUUGGUUCACUCUGCUAAAACUUAACGGAUACUGCGUGCUAGUAUAGCAACAAAAUUAACCGGCGUAUGUUUGGUUCUACCUGGGUUUUGCACGUCGCGAACAAAAAUUUCGUGAAAAUUUUCAAGUUCCUAAGCUUGAACGAACAUGGACUAAGAAGAAGAAAUAAAUAGAAAGAAAAUAUAGAUAAGGCCCAAGAAUCAUUGGCAUUUGGACCACCUUCGUGUGUUAGAACGUCAUAAUAUUUUAAGCCGUUGAUCAGUGGGUAUCAAAUUUGUAUACGUCCAUCGAUCCUCAGUUAGGCUGUAUGAAAAAAAAUACUUUUUCCGUCCAACAAAAGAUGUCUCAAUUUUUAUUAAAUUUGAAUGCAUUUAUACACUAAGUCAUGUCUAAAUGUAAUACACAUUUUUUUUAAUUGACGGAGGAAGUGCUGCGGCGGGACCGUAAUUUUCAGGGGUAGAAAAACGAGGCACGACCAAACUUGCACUCCAAGAUGGGAUGCUAUGGCUAUAAGUACAGCAUCACCAUUCACCGGUACAAGAUAACUACUCGUAGGAGUAUUUCAUAAUUUUUUAAGCGGGCAACAGCCAAGCUAGCUCUCCGACCAACUCUGCGAAACCAGCUCCAGCGGCUGCUGCUUCAGGCCUUCAGCUAGCGAUGGAAGGCGGCGGGGGGAAAACAUGGCGAUUCGCGUCCCCGAACACGACCUUGGCGGCCGCCGGCGAGAUGAGCCUCCUAAAGUGCCUCCUCCAGCUGCAUGCCUGCUUGGACGAGCAUGGCCCGCGGCCCGUGAUCCCGCUGAGCCACGGCGACCCCUCCUCCGCCCCGUCCUUCCGCACCGCGCCCGAGGCGGAGGAAGCCGUCGUCGCGGCCCUGCGCUCCGGCGAGUUCAACGGAUACCCCUCCCCGGCCACUAAUCUCCUCGCUCGACGGUCGGUGCUCGAUUGCCUUUUUUUUAACUCUUUUUAAUUGACUGAACUGCAAAGUGACUGUUGUUGUUAGGUCCUAAGAUCCUUUUGUGGGUUAACGCUUGCUAUCAAUCACAUAGUAUACAAGUUGUUCUACGGAUUUCACACAGUUCUCGCCAGGCUAAUUUUGUUCCCUGAAUUUGAUUCAGUUUCAUCAUUUGGUUUGUUCGUAAAAUUAGAUUCAAUCAAACUUUUGUGAUUCAGAACUUCACAUCAUUCUUUAUUGAUCCCAAUGAAGGGGACUAGCACCCCCACAAAGUUCUUAGAAACAGAAGAUAGCCCCCACCUUUCCUUGGCCACUUGUGCCAAUGAAACAAAUUUGCUGGAAGUGGGGCUGCAAAGUCUUGGGAUUGGCUGGAUAAAGGAGAACUACCGAUCCAGUUAUUGUUGCGGAAACUGCUGUUCUCUCCAUUGGCCACUUUUUCCUUACAGACGACUUACAAUAUUUUGUGAGCAACCAUCGAUGCUGCCGAAAUAGGGAGGACCAUAUUUUAUGGAAAUCUGAGAAAGUGUGUUUAUGCAAAUACUUGCUUCGAAAUACUCCCUCCAUUCCAUAAUUCUUGUCGAAAUAUUACACGUAUCUAGAUGCCUUUUAGGAAUAGAUACAUCCAUUUUUGAACAAAUUUGAGACAAGAAUUAUGGAAUGGAGGUAGUACUUAUUACCACAAACCAUUUGUUGUUUCUAGAUUCUGCCCAAAAUGUUUGUAUUCAUAGUUUCCAAAUCCAUAACACUUAAGCCCACUUGAACCUUAGGAAUACAAAUGGUGCCCCAACUAUCUAAAUGAUACUUCUAAAACCUAGCCUAAUGCUUAGCUGGGUUUUCUUUUCACCUUGUCUUCAGUAUUUUUCACCUCUUUCUGCAUUAAGACCCUGGCGCAAAACAAAUAGAUAUCGGUAUUAAGCGAGGAUAUAAGAAGGCAAAUUGCUGACAAGAGUGUUUUUUUUUACCUCGUCUUCAGUAUUUUUCCUAUCUACUUGGAACAUGUUGAAAAUUAGUCAUUAUUCAGUAACCACCAAGAGUCUUUCCUCACAGUACGAUGAUUCUAAGAAAAUGUUUCAUCUGUGAUGUUUGAGUAACAUGUUCCUGAUGUGUUGCUUUUAUUGACACUUUUUGUUGAAAUCCAGAGCUGUCGCUGAGUACGUAUCCCGUGAUCUCCCUUACAAGCUUGCCCAUGAUGAUAUUUUGCUCACUUGUGGAGGUACCCAAGCAAUCGAGACUGUGAUGUCUGUUUUUGGCCAACCAGAUGUCAAUAUAUUGCUUCCGAGACCUGGCUACCCAAAGCAUGAAGCACAUGCAAUGUUUCAUAGGAUGGAGAUAAGGCAUUAUGAUCUUGUCCCUGAGAGAGGAUGGGAGGUUGAUUUGGAAGCUGUUGAAGCUCUUGCCGAUGAGAACACUGUUGCAAUUGUGGUUACUAACCCGAACAACCCUUGUGGUAGUGUGUAUUCCUACGAACAUUUGGCCAAGGUUAGUCUAGCACAUGCACAAUGAUAUAUAAUGUAUCUUUUCUUUGCAACAGAGCUUAACUCAUACUUGCGUGUUAAAUUAGAUUGCAGAUAUAGCAAGCAAACUCGGUAUUUUAGUCAUUGCUGAUGAAGUAUAUGGUCACCUUGUCUAUGGUAGCACAUCUUUUGUGCCAAUGGGUGUUUUUGGAGAGACUGUUCCUAUACUCACUCUGGGGGCUAUAUCAAAGAGAUGGGCUGUACCUGGCUGGAGGCUUGGAUGGAUAGCAACUUGUGACCCUAAAGGCAUUCUGAGGAAAACUAAGGUGAUUUUUGCUAAAGAUAUUUAAGUGCACCUGUUCUUUUUUCUUGCAGACGAAGAGAAUCAUUUUAAGGGUCUUUUGGAGUGCAUUUAGCAAUUUGGUUCACUUCAGGUUGUUUAUAGUUGCCGCAUAUUUGUAUUAUUCUCAUUGAUUCCUAAGGAUCAAGUGGACUUAGGUGUUAAAGAUUUGGAAAGUAUGAAUAUCAGUUAGCUUGUUCUGCAUCUUCUUUCCAUCUAGAAGUUCCCACGAGAAUGAGUUGCUUCCACAACUUUAACUUUAAUGUGUCAGUCAUAUUCAAUUCUGCAGAUGCAUUAGGCUGCAGAUAUGUUAUAGCAACUUGUUAGUUCUUCAAAUGAUUUUACUCUGUGGAGUUGCUUCCACUGCAGAAGUGUCAAUGUAAAACUUGACAUGCUAAGAGUAUCAUGGUGGAGGAGGUUCAUGCUUUUAUCUCACAUGCUAUGUAUGAUGUACUAUGGUAAAUAACACAUAGAUCCUUUACUUAAUUGUUUUGCCGAGUCCUAUAUGUGUUCUCUAUGUGUGCUUUCGAUACUUGAUACUUUUUGGCAUAAAUAAUACCAGGAAGUUAACCAUUUUGGAGUACUGCAUAUACUCAUUUUUAUAUUAUCUUUUGUGCUGAUUAUUGAAUUAGUAUUCUACGUGCUAUAUUGUUGGUUUCAAGUUAACCAAUAACUUUAUUCAGUCUUUGAUAUUUAUUGAAUUUCCCCUGAUGUCAUUAGGUUCAAGAUUCACUCAGAAGCUUCGUACAUCUAGUAUCAGAUCCUCCAACAUUUCUUCUGGUUAGUCAGUAGCAUUAUGUGAAUCACUUGAUCACCUUUAUAUUUUAUAUGUAGGUAGUUGGCCAGGUAUUUUGCAACAUUUGUCCCACAACAUUUGUUCUGCUUCCAUUUCCCUACUUGGCAUUGUAUUCGAUGUAAAUGUCACAUCUUGCAUGGACAAAAAAAAAUUACACAUAUUAGACAGCAAGAGUUGCAUGCAUGUACUUCCUAUUAAUAUUUCAGUAAACCACACAUACUGACAUACAUUGGUACCUGUUUUAUGAGACAAAAUCUAAGAAGUGAUACUUAACAUCCAGCAGCCAAAAAUUUUGAUAGUUGAUAAAAUGUGUACGUUGCAAGGUCAAAGCAACAAGUAUUUAUUUAGAGCAUAUGUCUCGUAUGACUGCACACCUCACAAAACUACACUUGUUUUAGAGUAAAAUACACCACUAGUCCAUGAACUCGAUAGAAAUGAACACUUUAGUCCACGAACUCGAAAAGCGCACACUUAAACUCCUAAACUGGAACAACUGUGUCACUUUAGUCCAAAAAAGGAUCGGUGAGGCUUAAACACACCACGUGGGCACCACGCUGGCUUCAGCGACCCUUCACCAGCGUCCUCUCGUCAAAAUUGAGUGUUGUGGGCUUGAUAGCAACCUUAGGCGAGGCAGUGGCAGCAACGGCGUGGUUCUCAGGGCCCCAGGAUCCCCGUCUGGCGCGGCCGCGCCUUGUCCCUCGCGGGCGGCUCGGGCAUGGUGAUUUUGCAAAAAAUAAAAUGUCCUAAGAAAAUCGAGUAAAUCGAGUAGUACCCCGCGGUCCUGGCCGAAGCCGACGUGACGAACACGUGGCGUGUUUAAGCCUCGCCGAACCGUUUUUGGACUAAAGUGACACAACAGUCCCAGUUUAGGGGUUUAAGUGUGCGUUUUCCGAGUUCGUGGACUAAAUUGUUCAUUUUUGUCGAAUUCAUGGACUAGUGGUGUAUUUUACUCCUUGUUUUAUUAUAAUGGAGGGCAUCCCACAUGUCGGGUACACCGAUGGGUUCCAACUAACGGGAUUCAGUGGAUGUGUGGUUGACUGAAACCUUAUGCUAAACUAUGUGCAGUUCUGUUAAAUCCAAUCCAAACUAAGAUGCAUAAUUUUCUGAUGGUUAUACCAAAAUAUGUUUAGUUAUGUGAAAUUUGCUCAUCUCCAAUUCCUUAUUUACACACUACAAGGAAAUGAUAUCUUUUUUUAUUUGAUAUGGAUCGAGUAAUAAAUUAUAUGAAUCGGUUAUUCACUCUGGAUUUGUCAUGUGGUGCAUCUUCAUAGGCGUAUGGUAAAGUCAGCUGAGCCAAGGUAGGGAUGGUGGAUAGGAAGACAGGAAGUUGAGUCAGUCCAGAGUCAUAUUCGAAAUUAGAAGUCAUGCUCUAUUCGAAAUUAUUCUAUUGCAGACUGAUCAUUAGCUUAAGGAAGUAUUCUCCUGCAAGUUGCUGUGAACCCUUUUUUUCUUCAAGUUUUCAGUAUUCAAUUUGGUGCAUAUUAUCCCAGCAUUUUUGUUCUAGAUGGCUGAACAUCUAAUUGCCUAGUCCAUUCACCAGGGAGCUAUUCCUCAUAUUAUGAAGAAUACAAAUGACGAAUUCUUCAGCAAUAUUGUCAACCUGUUGAAGGAGACUGCAGAGAUAUGUUAUGGUGAAAUUAAGGAAAUCAAGUGCAUUACCUGUCCCCACAAACCAGAGGGGUCAUUUUUUAUGAUGGUAAGGCAGACACAGAGCGCGUUGUUUGCAAUUUUACAUUGCUCGAAGUUGAAAGGAGAUUGGUAACACUAUGUUGAUCCGCAGGUAAAACUGGAUGUGUCACAAUUGUCAGGCAUAUCUGACGACGAAGACUUCUGCAGCAAGUUGGCAAAGGAGGAAUCAGUCAUACUAUUGCCUGGUAUGUGCUAAGCAGAACAGACUUAAUUGCUGUUUACGUUGAGAGUUGUUCUAACUGCCAUUUGCAGGGAAAGCCUUGGGCAUGGAAAACUGGAUCCGCAUCACCUUUGCUACGGAGCCAACAACACUGAAGCAAGGACUCGAAAGGGUCAAGGCCUUUUGCCGGAGGAACGAGUCACAGGCCAACUAGCGUUCAGGAGUAUCCUGCAUUUCAUUCCUCAAUGCCUGUUGGGGUUUCUGUAAUGGCUUACACGUCAUUUCCAAUAAAUAGUGUAGGGAUAAAUAAUGCAGCAUGUAGAGAUCAUGUCAUGAUUUCUCUUGCUCCCUUCUUUUUUAUCGCUUACUAUAGACAAAUCCCCGUGAAUACCAAGUUAUAUGACUGCCUUUAUCAAGAGAAAUUUGGCCAAGGAAAUACCUCUUAAAUUUGAAUACUGCCUCCGUCCAACAAAAGAUGUCAAAUUUGUCAAAAAUUGGAUGGAUCUAGACAUGAUUUAGUAUAUAGAUAUAUUCAAAUUUAAUUAAAGUUGAGACAUCCUUUAUUGGAAGGAGGAAGUAUUAAAAUUGUACGUGCGCGGUGGGUGGGUGUAGAUGUGAGGGGCGUUUGGGAGUAGUGACCUAAGAUGUCUGAUCUGAAAUCAUGGUUUCAUUAAAUGCCCGCGAUUGUUCCUUAACCUUGUUACAAACUCGUGAACAUCUGUGUACUGGUCAAAAAAAAAACUCGUGAACAUCUGUCUUGCGGAGCUAUGCUCGGCCGAUCCGACAGCGGUAGGGAAUUACACCAGGGAGCUAGGAUAGGUCAGUUCGAUUCGAUGUGGCUUGAUGAAAGAUGGGCUGAUGCCUGAAUCCUGAUGGCAGGGGUGUAGCUAGCCAAUGAAUUUUGCCAAUUUAGGACAGUAAAACAGAGCACUCUUCGAGCCCUCUCAAGUCAUUUAAGUUCGUGCAUCUUUCGAUCUGACCCCGUCGUCCGAUCCUGUCCGUAGGGCGGGUGCUCCCAUAGAAAAAUGGAACUAACCUGGUUUACUGGACCGCCCAUGGACAAACGUCAUCCAGGCUCCAACCCAGCAGCACCAACUGAUCGUCUUCCCUUGUGCGCCGCCACCGACCUACCUGGCUCCCUCCCGCCGCGCGACGGACGGCGGGCUGCCCUCUCACCGUUCUCGGCGACAAGGAUCGAGUUGGGCUGUUGUUAGAGCGCCUCCGUACGUGCCGUUGUCGUGUGCCGCCCUCUAAGUUGGAGGAGACGGCAGCCUGUAUAGGGAGCUUCUAUGGGAUGAGACAAUGCAGCGGCUCAAGGAGACAGACAAGGUAUCCCGUGUACAUGCACUCAUGAGACGAGUACAUCGUAUAAUACAUCACGUGUAUAUCACGAAAAAAAUCACAGUAUGAGUAUCUAUCAAAAUUUGGUAUCUCUUAUGAGACGAGUACAUCGUAUGCUACAUGACAUGUACUUUAACAGUUUUUAAGUAACUUGUCAUAUCAAGUUUGUGUAGUUCAACUCAUAGCAAUACAUUUUGUACCACGACAAAAUCAGGCAAAAACAUAAUCAAAAAUUAGUCCUCGUCAUGUACCGGUGCAAUAAAAAAUCAUAGCACAAACAAUCAAAUAAGAAACCACAAGACGGCGGCCUGCAGGGGCCGAGACGGUGGCGCGGGAGUGGCGGCGGAGGCCGAACCCAGGACGGCCCCGCGGUGGCGGCUGCGGAGGCAACUUACUCGAUUUCUUCCCCUUCGCAAAGCCUCUCCAGAUCUCGAGCCUCCAUGGCCAGCUAUGAGCCCAAGAAGAGUAUUAGCAGCAGCAAUACGUGCAGUACCAAAAUCAUGAAGACUAGGGUCUCAAUCGAUGGGGGGAAGGGAGGAAUGGAGUCAGAUUUGAAGAGGGAUUUAGGAUCCAGUAGCAACACCAUCAAUCCUUGGCAGCAUUUCCACGGGAGAGGACGAGCUGGGCAUGGCAGAGAAGGGGGACGAGCUGGGCAAGGCAGGGGGAGAAGAAUGGCAGGAGAGAGAGGGGCUGUCUUGCCAAAAUUUGUCAUAUUUUGGCAUUUGUUUGGUUAGUAGCCAACAAUUUGGUUGUCAAAGAAAUUUUGCCAACUUCUUCGUAUCCCUCUUCACAAAACUUGCCAACCUUAGCCAACCAUGGGCAACAAAUCCUUAGCCAAUUAUUUGGAUAGCCAAUAGUUGGCAAAAAUUGGUAGGACACAAAUAGUCAAAGAACCAAACAGCUUAAGAGAGGCCGAGGAAGGAGAGAAAGAGACGGGAAAUGAGAGAAAUAAAGCUGGGCUGCGGUUAGGUCACAGAGAGAUUACAGAGGCUGGCAGAGAUUAAGAAAGGAGAGAGGACACGUGGUUGGUAGCCAUGGUGGGUGUAGAUACCACCACGGGCAUCUGGAGGUUUGGCAUCAUGUUCGGCAAAUUUGUAAGUGACCGCAACCGCGGACUCAAAGUUUUCACUAUCCGCCCCACCCGCGCUUGAUCUGAUACGAUCCUGUUUUGUUUUGUGCAGUGUUUCGACAAGUCGGUCGUGCUCAAUGGCCUCAUCGGCCACCCCGUGUUGCCAAGCGCUUCGGGUUUAGCUCGAUGUCUUCUGCUUUAAUCAUUCAUUUCUGUGAGUGGUGGUUGGUGUAGUUCAGUCGAUGGGGGAAAAUGGGGCGAUGCGGGCGCCAUAGUUUGUCGACCCGCUAGCACAUUUCACCUGCUAGUUUAAAGAGCCCUUGUAAUCUUUGCUUCGUAGGUCAAUCACAUCAACAUGAGCUGAGAUCCUACAGUCAUCCUACCAUUAUAUAUUGCUGAUAUAUGAUUGACAUAUAUAUAUGCACAUUAGAUAUUUUAGUAAUGGUAAGAAUCUUAUAUGAUUGUUGUCAUUUAUAAAUCUCUUAUCCAAUAAUGUCGGGAGGAGUCGGGACUCGUGAAAAAGAAGAUGAACUCAAAGUAUGUGCCACAAUUCAUUAGCAUGUUAGCACUCACUAGCCACAGUUCCGAACUUGGGUCAUGCUCAUUAUUAGAAUGCCAUUUUCUGCGAACUAAGCCUAACUCAGGUGGUUGGUUCUUUGUGGUGGAACCAGCCCGGUGACUUCGUCAAUCUCAAGUUGAUCUGUCGUGCCCCAGUCUUUCGAAGGUGCUUAUAGGGGUAGGGUGUGCAUGCGUGCGUUCACAGGGGUGAGUGUACGUGUGUGUGUGAGUGCUUGCGUCUGUGUACUAUGUUUCCUAAAAAAAAAGAAUGCCAUUUUCUAUUGAGAGUACAUUGUUCUAACACGAUAUUGAUUACAUACAUUAAUCAUGUUCGAUAGCAUGGUCUACUACCGUUUUCUGACAGUCACACAUACACAGUGAGCAUUUAGCAUGCCAGAUUACAACAGGGAGUGCCUUUUUUUACAUUGGAUCUUUCCAUCAGGGAAUGUUCAUUGGUUUGUUCUUAAUUUCCUCACUGUAGAUUUGUGUCAAGUGAGUGGUUCAGAGAUUCUAUAUUUGGUGUUAUUUUACGUUGGCGAUUUGCAUCAUGGUAGUAGAUGCAUCAAACAUCAUGAUGUACUACCAGUCUGCCAUGUUAUUUUCCUUAGGAUCUUCAUAGAUUACAUAUAACAUGUGUAAAGCAAUUAUUGUCAUUAAGUGCAAGAAGAACAAACCAAUUAUUUUAAUCUUAUGAUCCACUAAAUGCUGCUGCUGUAGAAUGAACAUCUGCAAGUUCUGUUUUUCCUCAUAAUAUUGUUUUUUCUGAGAUCAGGCCCAUGGAAAAUGCAUUGUUGCAUAACAUAUGCACAUUGAUUCCGACCAUACACCACUGUUUAUUGAUUCUGAGAUGUCAAUGUGCAUAUGGAAAAUGCAGGGUAGUUUAUUAUCAGGUCUGACCAUACACCACUGUUUAUUGAUUCCGGCGAUCAGGCUCAAUUAGGAAAUCGCGCUCAAUUUUCUUUUGAGCUCUCUUGGCUACGUGAGGAAGGUUUUUAUGACAUAAUUGCGGCUGAAUGGGCCUCGAUGACUUCGGGUCGCACACCCAUUGAGAGAUGACAGAAUAAAAUUAGACACUUACACCGUUUCCUUCGUGGAUGGGCUAAGAACCUAAGUGGCAAAUAUAAAAAGGAGCGUGGCCGUCUUCUUAAAAUUAUCGAUGACCUUGAUAUUAAAGCCGAAUCCGUUGAUCUCACAACGGCUGAACGGGCCACGUUGAGGGAUGCUAAUGAUUUCAUAUCUAAGCUACGACGGGAUGAGGAUUCGAAAUGGGCCCAGCGGGCAAAAGUUAAAUACAUACAGGAGGGAGGAAGUAACACGAAAUUCUUCCAUCUUAUUGCUCAUGGGAAGCACAGAAAGAAAAGGAUAUUUCAACUUGAGCAGGAGGAAGGGACCAUCACAGGGCAGGCUAAUCUUCAACUCUAUAUCUCUGAAUUUUAUAAGAAAUUAUUUGGAGCAUUGGAACCGAAUUCUUUCUCCCUGGUGGAAUCCCAAGUUGAUGAUAUACCUCAACUUUCUGCGACAGAGAAUGUGCCAUUCUCGUGGCGGUAUUCUCCGAGCAGGAAGUGCAUGAUGCCAUCUUCCAGAUGGAACAUAACAAAGCGCCCGGUCCUGAUGGUUUUCCUGCGGAGUUCUAUCAGUUUUUCUGGAACUUUAUUAAAUCUGAUUUGAUGGCUCUCUUUGCUCAGCUUCAAACAGGCCAGCUACCCCUGUAUAAACUUAAUUUGGGGAUCAUUACGUUGAUUCCUAAGAAAGAAGAUGCUGUUCAAAUCCAGCAUUAUAGACCUAUUUGUCCGCUUAACGUGAGCUUUAAAUUUUUUACAAAAGUUGCUACUAAACGCAUUGCGGGGAUCGCUAACCAGGUGGUUAGCCCGACUCAAACGGCAUUUAUGCCAGGACGACACAUCUUAGAAGGUGUGGUUGUUCUUCAUGAGACCAUCCACGAGCUUCAUCGGAAGAAAAUGGAUGGGGUGCUUUUUAAAAUUGACUUUGAGAAAGCCUAUGAUAAAGUCAAGUGGCCGUUUCAACAACAAGCGCUCCGCAUGAAGGGAUUCGACCCAAUGUGGUGCAACUGGAUUUCGCAAUUUGUCCAGGGAGGGAGUUUGGGAGUCAAAUUUAAUGAUGAUGUGGGUCAUUCCUUUCAAACUCGCAAAGGAUUGAGGCACGGCGAUCCUUUGUCUCUGAUCUUGUUUAAUAUUAUUGCGGAUAUGUUGGCCAUCCUAAUUUCUCGUGUCAAGGAAGAUGGUCAAGUUGGAGCUCUAGUUCCUCAUCUCGUUGACACGAUUAUUUUCAUGGAACAUGAUUUAGCGAAAGCCGUUUAUAUGAAAUUAAUCCUUUGUAUCUUUGAACAACUUUCUGGUCUUAAAAUCAAUUUCCAUAAAAGCGAGAUUUUUUGUUUCGGUAAUGCCAAAGAUGAGGUGCUUAGCUACAAGUGCAUCUUUGGAUGUGAAUCUGGAUCUCUCCCGUUUCGAUAUCUGGGAAUUCCAAUUCAUUUUCGCUCGCUUCUUAAUAAGGAAUGGAAAUCUGUAGAGGAUCGCAUUGAGAAAAAAUUGGGUUGUUGGAAAGGGAAGUUGCUGUCCUACGGUGACCGCCUAACCCUCAUUAAUUCGGUGUUGACUUCUAUGCCCAUGUUUAUGUUAUCCUUUCUUGAGAUUCCCGUUGGAUUUUGUAAAAGAUUGAAUUUUUACAGAUCUCGUUUCUUUUGGCAAUCAGACGAGCAUAAGCGCAAGUACAGAUUGACCAAAUGGAAUAUUAUUUGUCGCCCCAAAGAUAAGGGGGGCUUGGGCAUUGAGCUUCUGGAGUUUAAAAAUAGAUGCCUCCUCAGCAAAUGGCUGUUUAAGAUACUUAACGAGGAAGGUAUGUGGCAAGAGAUGCUACGAAAUAAAUACCUCUAGAAUAGCACUCUUUCCCAAACGCUGGCCAAACCGACUGACUCACAGUUUUGGAAGGGCCUCAUGCAUGUUAAAGAUGAUUUUUUUUUUAUCGCGGGUGUUUUAUCCUUGGGGAUGGGACUGGAAUUCAUUUCUGUGAAGACACCUGGCUUGGCAUUACGCCGCUCGCCUACCAAUAUCCAUCCCUAUACCGCAUUGUUCAGCAUAAAAACAUUUCUGUUGCCGCGGUUUUUCAGACGAUUCCUUUGAAUAUUCGCUUCAGACGAAAUCUCAUUGGGGAUAAAUGGAUAAGAUGGUUGCACUUGGUCCAACGGCUUAUGACGGUUAAUUUGUCGGCUGAGCCCGACAGAUUUGUUUGGAGUCUUACUCCCUCGGGCGUCUUUUAUGUAAAGUUUAUGUACGUGAACUUUAUGGAUGGGCAAACGGUUUUUCGUCGAAAUAUAUUUGGAAGUUAAAGAUUCCCUUCAAAGUCAAAAAAUUUAUGUGGUUCGUAGAUCGGCAGGUUAUUUUAACUAAAGACAAUCUUGCGAAGCGGAAUUGGCAAGGGAGUUUAAAAUGUUGCUUCUGUGAUGCUGAUGAGAGCAUUCAACAUCUUUUUCUCUCCUGCCCUCUUGCUCGUAUUAUUUGGCGCAUCAUUUUUAUUACUUUUAAUCUUCCACCCCCGACAUCAAUUACUAAUUUGUUUGAUAACUGGCUUAAUGGGGUAGAGAAAAAACUUAAAGCUCAUAUGCGGAUGGGAGUUUCGGCUUUCUGUUGGGCUAUCUAGAAUUGCAGGAAUGAUGUGGUUUUUAAUCGAUCCAGAGUUUACAACUUUUUGCAGGUUAUCUUCAAAGCUACGCACUGGAUCCGUCUUUGUGCUCCUGCGGGGACUUAUGGAUAUUGGAUGCAACCGGCUGGAGACGGUAUCUCGGGAUAUUUUCAACCGGGCUGGCUGGCGGUGUACUAAACGCCUUCAAUUAUAGAUUCGUCAUGAUUGAUGUUUUCAGCUGGCUUAUUUUUGUAUCCACGAUCGCUUGUCGGUGAUUUGUAACACCUACUCUUUAUAACUUUGCAAUAAAAAUGGCUGUGUGCAUCGAUUGAUGCAGAGGCCGGGGUUUCCACCCCUUUUCGAAAAAAAAUGUUUACUGCUAAUGACCCCCAGGUGUUUGUCUAGGCCUCCUGCCUGUAGUUGUGACUCGGCGUGCUCCAGUGGAUGGCCAGGUGCGGAGGACAAAGGCUGCGCAACAAAUGCUUUGUUGGGAUGCUCUGAACCUUCGACCAUGCCACCACCGACAUCCAAGCCUUCGUCUGUAGGUGCUGCUCCUUCUUGUUGCCUACUUCAAUGAUAAGGUUACAGAGUUAGUGCCCUGGAAUCUCUGUUCCUGGUUUACCAUUUCUACAUUCAAAUUUUCAAUUGUUGUAUUGAGUUACCGAGCAAUCAUGAAGCGUGUUCAAGAUAUCUGUUGGAACUUGGCAGUAAUAUCAUUGUAACCUAUGAUUUUAAUAGAAUUAAGGAAAUGAGACCCAAUGCCGGCCUUGUAAUUUUCUUAGUCCAUGGUACACCUAUCAUGUUUUUUCACAUAUAACUCUGUGUGCUAUAAGAAAUAUAUUUUAUAUACUUUAUACCCGUUUUUCUGUUCAUGUAGUUAUUUUAAAAGUCGACAACCCGCCUAUUGCAACAAUGGCAUGAAUUUAUCACAAACAAUGGCACAAAUGUGUUCAAACAAUUAAAAUUCACAUAGCUGGACACUUUAGGAGCUCUCAUACAUUCACUCUCCUAAGCCGGUCCGACCGCGUUUGCAUCAUCAUUGGCCGUCAAAUACAACCCACUUGAAAAUUCACAUUUUCCUCUACUAACAAAUUAACAUUCAUCUCUUAAUUACUCCUUUUUGUUCAUAAACGUGACAUGUUUUAUCUUUGUCCUAAGUUAAUUUUCUUAAAGUUUGACUGAAUUAAAAAAAAUCUAUCAACAUAUACAACCCAAAAUUAGUUUUAUUAAAUCAGUUAUGAUAUAGUAUAUCUUUAUACUAUACUUAUUUGAUACUUUAAGUAUUACUCCCUCCGUCCUGUUUUAGGCGGCGUACUAUUCAUAUAGCACAGUCCGGUUAUGAGGCGCUGAACCUUUUUAACAAGCUUCUUCCCAAAGCACCCUUGUUACUAGUAUGACUGACCGCAUUAAAUAAUUGCAGUCGUGUGAACAGGCUCCGUGCCAGGGUCAGGCUAGAAAUUUCACAAGAUAACAUGCCUGCUUUCCUCACCUCAUUGGUAUCCGUGUAAAAAUUAGUACGCCCAGUAUAAGUGGACGGAGGGAGUAAUACAUCUUCCUAUAAUUAUGGUCCAACUUGAAAAUGUUUGACUCAGAACAAAGGUAGAACAUCUUAUGUUUAGAAACCGACGUAUCACUAACCAACUUCAAGAAAAAACUUUCAUUUUUCAUGCUCCUGUAUUUAUAUCUUUUCUAUCAUUUUUUUUGUCGAAACUGACAGGCGUGGCAACACGCGCCAUCAUGAUUUAGUCCUUCCUAAAAUUAGAGAAGUAAUUUUGAUAAUAUGCAUGACACCGGUAAAUUCUGAAAAGUGAACCCAACAGCGUAUUUUCUGGCUUCGCCCUUGUCUUAUGGGCCGUGUUCGCCACCUGUUGGCUCGAUGUGCUAGCGACAGGCGAGCAACAAAUUAUCUUAUCACAUACUUAUUUGUCCGCUCAUUACUAUUAAUGGUCUGAAAAGUUGCUCGGUUCGAUAAUUGAUGAAUCAGGCUCUUACCGAAGGGACUAACGAGCACUCGUUAGGCUCAGUGGUCUUCGAACUUUUAUCCAGGCCUAAUUUUAGGCUUCACCCCUGCGACACACAUACAGGGGGGUUUGUUUAAUAAAUUUACCUUGUGCACCAAAAAAGCUUCACUUUCCAUAUACAACGAAAAGAUGAAGCUAGCACGGAGGUCACCACCUCGUCGAGGUCCAGGAUCUCCUGUCCUCUGAAGCUUGGUGGUCUUGGCAUCCUCGCCUGGAAAAGUUCAAUAGAGUCCUUUGUAUCAGUUGGCUUUGGCAACAAUGGCCACAUCCACAUUGACCGCAUUGACCGGGACAUCUUCAGGGCCUCAACUGACAACUGUCAUCACUCUAGGGCAGAACAAAAUGGCUAGAUUUUGGAUGGACACUUGACUUGACACGUCCCACUACAGUUUAUCAUGCCCAAUAUUUACCGGCUGUCGUAUGUCGAGGAGGAAGAAAAGAAUGUGCAUGACGACCUAUCAAACGAGGCCUGGAUAAAGGCCAUCCUAGGGAGAAUAGCUAAUGAUAUUCAAAUUGGCGAGUUCAUCAGUUUGUGGAUCAGCUUGCAGCCAGUCACUCUCAACAAUGAAGUCAUGCACUCAAUCACGUGGAGAUGGACCACCGACGGCCAAUGCACCUGAAAGUCCGCAUACUAGGCACGGUUCAAGGGUUCCAUUCCAAUGUCACACAUCAACCUGAUUUGGAAAGGCCACAAUGGGACCAAAUGCCAAUUCUUUGCCUGGUUCAUCACCCAGGAAAAGGUGCUUACUGCUGACAAUCUUAGAGAUAGGGGUUGGCGGCAUAAUGUAUAUUGUGUGCCAUGCAACCAACUCCCAGAGAGAGGGCACCAUCUUUGCCUUCUUUGCCCUUUGCCAAGCAGGUUUGGCAUACAUCCUCACCAAGUUGGGUUUUGACGUCUCCCUUGUGGUGAACUCUAACGACCGCACUUAUACUUUCCCGGUGGUCCGUGACAUCCUCUUAGCAACCUUCUGGUAUGAUAAGGGAUUUCAGCGCACCACAUCCUACAUCAUGUGAAACUUAUGGACAUAACGCAACAAUAGGAUCUCGCAACACGCAUUUCGCCAUCAAUGUCUGUCGUUCGUUCUUUAACGCGGGUCCUCUUUUUUCCUUUUUUUAUUCUAUUGGUGGGUCUACUGACAUGUACAUAUGGUUUAUUUGCGCAUUGCAGCGCUUCUGCCUUUUACGGAAAAGAAGAAAGAAUGGCACAUUCCGAAAGGCCCUUCAGGUCAGCCGUGUUUCCAUAAGUUCAUCCGCAAAGGUUGGCUCUUAAUCGUUUUUUAUUUUUCUUCUAGAAUAUCGUGACCUUGAAUCUACUCUUAUUUUUUAAAAGUUGCUUAUCGGUUGCGUCCAACACUUGAUGCAGAUGCCGGCGCCUUUUCCCCAUUUCGAUUAUUUUUUGAAAGUUGCUUAUGCGCAGGAAAGAAAAAUAGAGAGAGAGAAGAGAAUAGUUUUUUCGUGAAGAGUCGUACUCUUAAGACAAGAAUCGACUAAAAAUCAGAGUUAACCUAUUUACCAUUGUACACCACAUCAGUUAAUGCUAACAAAUCAUUUAUAGUAGUUUAAAAACACAACCGAUUUUUUGUGUUAUUUGUUAUCGUCUAUAAAUGACGUGAAGAGUGACUCUACUGUUUUUAUGCCCAAAUUGGAUGAGAAGAUGUUGUAAUCAACAGAUUGCACGGACGUGGCAGUUCUGUUGGGAGAUUUUUAGCAGAGUCCGUGAGACGUUGAUUGAAGCAUUGACGAGCGUGAGUACGUCUGUACGUGUCCCUGGCGGGUGGGCACUGGAGCAAGCAUGCAUGCGACCCGGCCCUUGGCUAAUAAAUAACGUGCACGGAUGCGGUGACUCUGGCGGAGAGAUUGCGAUUGCUGCUUGCAUGCAUUCCCCGGACGGCAGAGCAGCGCAGCAGUUAACAGGAGCCAGCAAGCGGCGUGAAUCGUCAAUGCAGCAGUCAUGGUUAUCUUAAAGGACCCAAUUAACCGUGACCAGUGACCACCCGCGCGCCUUGAGGCUCGCAUGUCAGCGUUAGUCACGGCCGGGUCGAGAGGUACCCGUCAACUACGAGACGCCUGUGGUGACUUCGUCAAUCUCAAGAUGAUCGGUCGGUGGCUCAAUUUCUCGGAGGUCUUCAUAGGGGUAGGAUGUACGUACGUGUGAGUCCUUGCGUCUGUACUGUGUCACGCUCGGCCUGUGUAUAAAAAACUGCAAUCCGCCAACAAACCUCUCCACCACUCUCCUAUUAUCGAUCCAUCCACUGCACCUGACAUAUACAUACGACCACUAUAUGGACAUCGAGAUGGAGGUAAGUACAGUAGGUGUCGUCAAAUUAGUUAGAACAUGCAUGCAUAUGUCGACCAUAUCGUACGUUGAUGACUCAUUGAUGUGUGCGUGCACCUUAACAGAGGAUGAUGGGGUGCAAGAUUCCGGCGUUCGGGUUGUGGAACUACUGCAGCGACCACCUGCCCACGACGCACUACUUGGACCUCGCAAUGCAGGCCAGGCUGCUCAACCGUCGUCAGCUGGAACAAGCACGGCUACCGCCCGGUUCCUUCAACAGCACCUCUUCCCAGUCUCCACGCAAACCCGCCCAAAUCAAGGUGAUAAGGACACAAGUGGAUCAGAAGCAGAGCAACGCCGGCGGGCUGCUGCAGGAGGACAUCAGACUGUCUGAUAGUGCAACCAGGCGUCAUAGGGCUGCUGUGGACGAGGAUCUCUACAAGGUGCCACCACCGCUCAUCUACCACAAACCUAGAAGAAAGGUACUCCAGUAGUUUCUCGCUUGGGCAUGCGUAUCCAUUUUUUCUUUACGGAUGCUAAACUUUAGCUUCUUGUGCCGUGUUAUUGUUAUCUUUUUCAAUGAAGAACAUGUUUGUCUAUUUUCUUUUUCAGAUGAGGAAUGUGGUCUGGAGUUUGUGGAUUGGAUGCCUCGGACUGGACUGCAUUGCCUAGCUAACUAAACAUGAAGAAUAAAGAUUAUGUGUGACUUCAAGCUACACAAUAAUUAUGAAUCAUGCCCGUAAGGGCCGGCGGCCCUGCUUCUCUUCGUCCCUAAUUAAUUAUUUGCUCUCCAGAUAGUUUUCCAUUAUCAGCCGAGCUAUUCUAUGAUUUUUAUUUUCUUUUUUCCAUCACCACUAGUUGAUAUGUAAAUCGUGCAAUUAUCAUUUUAACUGCGAACUUUCAUGCAAGUUCCACGGAUGUGCCCAUUUAUCUCCACAUAUUCUGUAUGGAGUUUUAUGCACAGAAUUAGUUCAAAAAAGGAUGGAAAUUCACUUAUACUUCGACAACAUGCAGCAUUGAUUUGAUCAGAGUUAGAUUACGAAAACAGUAUGAGAUUUGGGCAGGGUAGUUCCCAACAGUGGUUAACCCUCCCUAUGGCAAUCAUGACCAUCAUCGGAUUAGAUUUUUUUCUUUUUUGGAAGGAAUUUUUCGUUAGAUUUGAGUUACCAACUUCCUAUCCACAACGAUGGGCCAUAAAAGACCCUUCAAAACGAUUAUGGGCCAUGAUUUGCAACUACUUUCUGAAGAAAGAUAAUGAUCAACAAACCAAGAGAUGCCUGCAAAAGAAUCUAACAUGUGGACAUUCAAUCCAGGCCUCUAUAGUAAGGCUUAUAUUCACACUGCCAGAUGAGACUCGCUCAAAGCAAAAGAGGAAUUGGGGCUUUGCCAACCAGAAACAGCACAUCAGGCUUGACACGAAUAUAACAGCAACAUGUGUGUCAAGCGAUCAUGCGUGCAUUGUACUCGUACAUGAUACCUUCCUGGUUUCAGGUACGCUGAAAUGUAGCUUCCUCGCCAAAAUACUACCAUCUCUGACUCUGCAGCAACAAGAUGUACAGCUACCAGUAAAUAGCAAACAGUUUUGUAGCCAUUGAAGCGCUCUAGAGGAUGCAAUUUUGCAGCAUAUUUUUGCCCACACUAAGAACCACAGAAAUACUCAGUUAUGUCGGCAUCUGUUUAUUGGGCUGCACAUGAGGUAGCUUGUUAGUCUUCCAUCACAGUUGCUUGUCGCUGCUCCUGUAUUACCCCCUCAGAAUUCUUGCUAGUUCGUCCAUACUGAUCGUAGUAGCGCAGUGUUACUGCAGCAACCAAGGCUGCAGAAAGAGAUAUUGCAUAGUUAAACUUCAACAUGUUUGAAUAAAGCAACAUAUUGUGAUACAAAUAUUAUAAUCCAAAUCACAAAUGGUAGGAAUCUGUCAUGAUGCUUCAAAGAGCACACAAUCCAAAUCAGAAAUGAUAGGAAUCUGUAAUGAUGGUUCAAAGAGCAGGAGAACCUUUGCGUGUCUUUACUUGGGAGUAUGAAACAAAGAUGCAUCUUUAAAAUAGUCAACAAGUCAAACUUGAGUAAAUGUUAUGAUGGAACCACAAUAGUUGGUGCAAUGGAAACUCAAAACCAACAGUUUUUUAAAAAAAGAAAAAAAAUCACUUAAAACAACCACAAUUGAGGUAAUGUCGCUCACCAAACACAUAUCAACAUAUAGUAUGAUUCAGAGUUUAUGAUAGCGUUUGUGAUCAAAUGAGAUCACACGUAACAGCCUACAUGGAAAAAGGAAACCACAUAUACGCCAUGUAAUGUGGAGAUGUGGCCGGUUGGGUCUUACUCUGCGGGUGGUCAACAAGUUCAUUCCGCCCGGUCCCUCCGCCGCAAACAGAGCAGGUGAGCAGAACCCCAGAAGAUGGCAGUGGCAGAUGACCGUCAUCAAUUUCGCUGGCCAGGAUGAAUCAGUGCCACAAGUCAAUCCGGUCUCCUCAAAUCCCAUUCUAAAUACAACCUAAUCCCCAAAUCCACCCCCAAGUGACCACGUUCCUGGGCCACAGCGCUCACACAUUGUCAAGGUGAUCGAUUUGCUUGUUGUCACUCACCUGCAUGCUAUUCUCCACUUGCCUCCUCCCUGCUGCUGACGGCAAGUGGCACCUGAUUAUGUUGAACGGGGCAGCCCCCUCAAGCCUGAUAAGGUGCGGACGGGCUGUCCACGUCGAUAAGUAAUGUGGCAACGCUAUGGGCUUCAUUUUGCCAUGUAGACUCUUAAUGUCAGCCUACUUGGUAACAGCACUGUCAUGAGUUCUAAAUUGAAGGGUUUGGGUCUGGUCAGCAAGUUUACAUCAAUAGAGGUGAUUAAGUAAAAAAAUGUGGUCAUGUGUUACCAUUGACUCAACUGGUUAACAAAAUCCAACAGUAGGUAUUAUUUUGCAAUAAGCCAAUAACAUGAGAAUCAGUCAAGCAAUUUAUAUGAACCAGUCGUUUCAAACUACUUUCGAUUCAAUUGAUCGUCAACUUACCAGCCAUUAUGCGUGUCUUCACACCAACCAUAUUCCAGAAGGUUGUCACUGCAGCAGCUGCAACAAGUUUCUUGCGGGGACAGGACUUCCAUGCAUUCAGAAUCUGGGUUUUUAAACCCCCAACUGAAAAAAAGAUAAGCAUUAUUCUUUGAUCCAUCACAAGGUAAAUCAGGUGAAAGUGGUAGAUGCUGCUUACCUUUUUCAUGAAUAUGACUCGAGUAGCAGCUAUAAAGUCUUGGAAGUGUAAAACAACCAAAAAAACCUGUACAUUUUCAUUAAACACAAGAUACUAUAGAUAGGUGAAGUCAUGAAGAAGUUGACUGCUCUUUGCUACUCAACCAUACCUGUUGCUAGAAGCCUCCAUACUGUGAACAGAUGCCCAUAUUUAGCACCAAACAGAAGAACGGGUAACACCUAAGAUUUAAGGAAUCAGAAACCUCAGAAUUGUUCAAAGAGAGUCAUUAUAUUUUUGCAAGAACACAGAUCAUGAAAUAAAAUGUAAGGCCUACUUUCAGAGUCAUGGAUGGAUCGCCAGAGAAGAUCACUCGGGUCAUGGUUAUGAAGGAGUUAGCAACUGGCAAGACCGCUUUGGCAACCUGGAGUACAUCCUCCUCGGUCAACUGGAAACUCCUUGCACGCUCCAUGUUCUGCCUGUUACAGCUUUAAAAUUAAAAUUAUUUGACAGAACUUGCAAGCAAAAUUAACACAGUUCCAUAGGCAAAACGAGAGAGAACAUUACUGAAUUGUACCUCUGAGAAAUGGAAUCUUUGAAGAAGGCUAAGCCCAACGUUACAACACCAAAGUUGCAAAGUACCUUGAUUGGACUGCAAAUACAAGGAAAUAUUCAAAUUCCAGAUUAUAAAUAUGUACAAGAAAAUUAGGUUGGUGCCAUCAGAUACGUCAGCAUUUAGGAAAAUACAAAAAAUAGAUCAGAUUGACUAGGGCCAUCACAAAGGUGAACAACUAUGAAAACUGCCAUUGUCCUGGUUUUGGGUAUUAAGGUGAUUAUUUUUAUUUCAUCAUAAUAGCAUACUUAUCCUUGCCCUCCUCAUCCCCUCUUUCUCAUCUUUCUUUGUCUCUCCAUCACAUCUUACCAACAGUGUCAGCAAAUUUCCACGGCCAACGCUAAUCCAUAGGGCCCAAGCUACACCGUGACCAUCUAUCAUCUCUGGCCCUCACUGCCCAUCUGCCACUGGUACCGUGCUUCACCAUUGAGUGGAAGAAGAGUGAAAGGUAGAGCACAAGUAGAGUAUAAUUUGGAAGAACAUAUAUGGGAUCAGAUCCAUAGUCCAGUGAGGUGCAGCAGCAUAUUUCAGAGCAUCGAGGAGCUGGUGCCGGUGCCAGUGGCAUUAGUGCCAUAUCAAGGCGGUCCACCAAGCAACAACUGUGGUCUGCAGGACUCCACCUCCAAGUGCUUGCAGCUGAGUGUGAGGCAUGAUGCAAUGCUAUUGCUUCACCUGUGUGCAGCACAAACUCUAGCAUACAUCUAUCCUAGCCCACAGAUUUUUUUUCUAUUCCUCUACUGCAACGUAUUCAUGACAGUAAGAGUUCAAUAUUUUAUCUCAAAGAUGUCCAAGUUCCUUGCAGCACCAUAUCUUUUUCUACUACAGUUGUGUUCCGAUGUAUUCAUGACACUAUGACGGUGGGUUCAACCUUACGUUCUUACCCGUAUCCCAGUUUUUUCAAGAUUUCGCCCACACAUAUGUCCUAGUUUUGUUGCACUCAGAAAAAUAAUGUCUCCAUAACUACAAGUUUAAAUCUAUUUUACACCAAGAAAUUCCCAUCUUAAGCUCAAGUGGAGAACUCACACUUGUGAGUUGUGACAAGGAAGGCCAAGGGUGGAGCCAGCGCCCGACCACCCCGGGCAGUUGCCCAGGCUCCCCUCAAUAAACCUUCCUUAACUAAAAUAAGCAAAACGACUAGAUUAACAAAUUAUUAUGGACAAAACUUCAGUUUAGAAGGAAUGAAAGGGUGUGGUUGGAUUUAGCCUAGGUUUGCCCUACCAAAAGUGGGCUAGCCAAUUUUUUGGUCAUGCUUCUGCUUGCCCAAAAUUAGCCAACAUUGGCAAGAAAAAUGAACUUGAGGUGCCAAAAGAAGCAUUGGCAUGCCCAAACAUUGGCAACCAUCCAAACAAAGACCAAACUAUUUGGUCAUGACCAAAAAAUUGGUAGGACACAAUUUGGCCACUAUCCAAAUAGCCCUGAAAUGUAUCUUGCCCAGGCUGUACUGAUCAGCUGGCUCUGCCAAUUAGGAAGGCUCGGUGAUGCCCAAUGGUAUCCUCCAAAAUUUCUCAUGAUUGAGAUGAUGCUGGACAGUGGAGUCCAUUUGCAGUGGUAGCUUCCAUAAUAUUUUUUUAUGAUAGCACCAGCCUAUUAUUUUUUCAAUACGUAGUAUAGUGAACAACAUAUUGAUGAAAUACAGCAGAAGUUGCACAUGCAUGCCUGAAAUCGAUGUCCCUUGAAAAGGAUGAAGAGAGGAAAAGCAUAGAUCCAGAGCCAAACCAAAAUGCUGAUCGCCCAACAUUCUUCCACAUCACCAAUUCGACAACCAUUUCCCAAAGACCUUCCCAGUCAGACUGCUCUACAUUCUCUGGACCUAGCACACAAACAGGAAUUAACCACAUCAGAAAAGGAAGAUUCAUAUGUAACUUGCACCAACAUACCACAACAAAAGAAUUUUAAAAGCAAAAGAAUAAUAAUAAUUGCACAGUAAAAGUGCAGACAGAACUACUCUCCGGCAGCAAUUUGUUAAAUAUGUUAAUUGUGAAUGCCAUAUAUGAACAGGAACAACGUUUUAUCUACUAUUAGUAGUGGAUGUGAAUAUAUCUGAGCUACUUUGAUAUGUUGAAUCAGAAAUUACACAGGCUUUGGUUCAGAAAUUGAAUCGAAACUAUUUAUACUGUCUCCAAAUCAAUAACCCAAUCCAGGUUAGCUAAAUCUAUGUUAUUUUGGUGUAAUUUCAGAAAAUUUUGAGCUCCUUGUUUUCCUGGUCGCGUACUGUCCACAACAAACGCAGACAGUCAGCACGGACUUCUUUUUUUGUUACCAGAUGCAGACCUUUCUUGCCUCAAUGCUGUAAAAUCCACCCCCUUGGUCCAAAGUCCAAACAGUUAGCAUAUGACAUGCCGCACAAAUUUACUGUACUCUGGGGUCACAUAUCAUCUACUUGUGGAAGUGCCAUGACUCAUUCCGUCAUUUGAUUCAGCCUCUUGUGCCAUGUCCGCUGCACAAGAUCUUCAACCUACCCUAUUAUUGCCGUAUAUGACUCAUUCACCCUUUAAGUUUAACCUACCCUAACUGUGCUGUAGGUAGUGAGCAGGUUUGAAGUUAAAAUUUGAGCGAGUAGAAUUGGGGGCUCCUAUUCAACCAAUAAAAUUCAAAAAGAGGCAAAAUCUUUAAUUAACAAGACAAUCCAAACCAAAUUUCAAAACUACGUUGUUAACAGGAAAUUCAGAUCCAGCACAAGAAGUUUUUUGAAGCUAUACAGAAAAAAGGCCUUACAUCAACACCAAAAUAACAGAAAAAUAACAUAAUUUCCUCAAGAAAAUCCAACUGCACCCACAGGAAGGGCUGAAAGCAUCCUUAAGACCACAAACUUGUAAAACCGAAGAAGACAAUUAAAUCACUGAUGAACUGAACAAUACAUGUAACGCCAAGAAGGAUAUAUUAGUCCCUAUUCAACAGUCUGCCAUUUGCAUUCUGUUAAUCAUAAGUACAUAAAAUCAAAUUAUAGCACCAAGUUUAAAAUUGCCUAAAGAGUUAUCAGGAAGCAAUAUUUCCUAUAUGAACCAAAAACUAAAAGAUUGUGAUGCACCAGUCCCGAAUUCUCUAUGAACCCUAAAACUGACAAUAGUAGUACGAGUUAAUUUACCUUGGGUUAGAUUGGUACGAGGAUAAGGCACCAAAGCCAGGCCCGACACCUUCUUCUCCUUGACGAUUGCUACCAAUCCCUUGGCAGCCGGAGGCUGCGCCGCGGUCUUCUUUCUCCGGGUCUUACCCACCGCUUCCUCCGCCGCCGCCGCCUCGUUCCCCGUCUCCUCCCUCCUGCCGCCAUUCUCUAGCCGCCGCCGCGCCCUCCUGACAUUCUUUCCGGGCGACGCCGCUGUGCGCGCCUCCCCCGCCCCGCGGCGCUUCUUUCGUGGAGACCCGGCAGCCCCUGCGCCUUUGUCGACGGACGAAUCGCGAAGAAGAAGCUUGGACCGACGGCGCCGAAUGGGGCUGUCGCGGGCAGGGGAAAGCGGGAGCACGUCCCCCCAAGGGGAGAUGACCGGGAAAGGGGACGCGGGAUCAUGCCGAGCAGUAGCGUCGGCGAUGUCGACGUCAACAGGGCUCGGCAUAGGAGGAUCAGGGGGUGGACGGCUCGGUGAAUAGGGCUAUAUUUCCAUUGAUUUGCUCUGCGGCGAGCUGGGUCUGGGGUUUUGGAGAUGGAAACAUCCGGCAGCGGGUUCCAAAUUUGAAGCUUCGCCCCUUCUAACCGGUGGUGGAUCUUCUCGAGUCGUCGAAAGAAAUUUUUUAUUUUUUGAAAAUUUCCAUCCGUCCCGAAAUAAAUAAAUUUGUGUAUUCCUUUCCGUCCAACAAAAGAUGUUUCAAGUUUGUCAAAAUUUGGAUGUAUCUAAACACAACUAAGUGUAUAGAUGCAUUCAAAUUUGAUCAAAGUUGAGACAUCUUUUGUUAGACGGAGAGAGUAUAAGAAUUUAUUUCAGGACGGAGAGAGUAGUACAUAUUAAACCAUAGACUUAUUCACUUCAAUUUUUGCGUAUUAAAAGUAGUAGUACGAAGUAGCAUAGUUUUAUUUCUAAAAAAAAUACCAUGAUAAUGAGUUAAAAGAUGUCAGUGACUCACUCACUGUGGUGGUAUUUUUUGGCGGAUGAUAAUUGCAUUAUUAUUUUUUAAAUACUCCAUCCGUCCAACAAAAAAUAUAUCAAGUUGUCAAAAUUUAGAUGUAUCUAGACAUGACUUAGUGUAUAGAUUGGAAGUGCAAGUUGCUCCAUGUGUGGUUUUGGUAAUUAAUGACAAUCCCUAUGAACUAAUGUUUUAGUUGAGAUAUAUUUGAAGAAAUGUUCCAUAGGUAAUGCAUGAAGACCACUUGAUGAAUUCAACGAUAAAUGUCAUAAAGUUAUAAAGAUAUAUAAUGAGAGUUGAUAGUUGGAUGUGUGGUUUUGGUAACCGAUGACAAUCCCUAUGGAUAAGUGUUUGCAUUGAGCUUUAUAUGAAGGAACGGUACUAAGCAAAGUAUAUGGAAUUGAAGACAUGAAGUUAUUAGAUUUCAAUGAGUGAAUCAAAUAUUGUCGAGAAGAAGAAGGUGAAGUUCCCAUAAAGAUUAAGAUCUUAAAAUAAUGAUUACAACAUAAGAAUUCAAGAUAUGGCUUCAUGACAAGGUUAUGGUGUGCUCAUAAGUUGAGCCAUGGUUGACCGAGUUAUGGAGCAAGCACUCAAGUGAAGAAUCCAUUAUGUGUCUCAAGAUAUUGUUAUAGAGAAUGAAGAAGACCAAAGCUUUAUUCAUGGUGAAUCCCAUGUACGGUCAUGAGAGAGUAUAUAAUGAUCAAGUCUUGAAGAAAUGAAGAUUAAUUGAAGAGUUCAAUAUUGCCUUCAAGAUAUCAUAGAUAUGGAGUAAAGGAAAGAUGAAGGUUGACCAAGAUAAAGUGCAAAAAUUGGAUUCAAGUUGGUCAACAUACAAGCGUAAAUGAUGUACCACGUGAAAUCUAGUGGUACGGUAAGCAUUUGUCUAUUGCACUUUGUGAACUAACCCAUAAACUAUGUGUUUGCUAUUUAUAUGUGGAUUAGGUGUUACUCAUGGGUUUGCAUCAACAUAAGGAAUUCAUAUAACCCAUGAGAGGAUGAUCAAGUUGAGACGGUCAUCAAGGUUAAUUGUGCAAGUUCAACAUGAGCAUAGAAUGAGAGUAAAUGCUUGAAGCUUGUCAUCUAUUUGGUUGUAAGUACAUGUGAAAAUGUAAUUAAAGUGAAGGUCUCUCCCACAUUGGAGUAUGGGGGAGCAAAUUAAGAAUCUUCACCAAAGUGACCGUGAUGAAGUGGAGGAUUCCAACAUAAGACAAGCAUGAACGUCUACAUCAACCUAAAGUGGAUUGCUCAAGGCAAAGGUAUAUGUAGCUAGGUUUUCCUAGUUUUACCGGUCUCAAGGAGUUUGGUGUGAUACUAGUUUAUACGUUCGAUAGCCAUUCUAUCAAGAGGGGCUUUCGGAAGGUAACUUGAACUCGUUGUGCGUAGAGUGCUCAAACCUUUGCAUAUUUUGCUUCAUCUCUUUUGGUUGAUCUUUAUUGGAUUUCUGUGUGAGUUCGUAGAGCUCGUUGUUAUCUUCGAAACAAGUCCAACUUCAUCGAAAUCGGAGUUCGUAUGUAAAAGUUAUUGCCGUUUUCGUGUGAGUGGUUCUACAGUUUUUUGUAGGCCGGAACUUCCGGGCUAAUUCCGGGUUGGUCUGGAUUCCGCGAACAACUUGUUCUAGAAUUUCUGAAUACAGCAUGAGAAACUAGUAAUCAUUACCACUAGAUUAGAGUAAUUACUUGAAUCGACUUGAGUCAAUUUAGUUGCUGUAUUAAUGAGGUGAUUGUGUUGUUGUGCUGUGUUGUUCAUCAUAUUGCAAAAAAAAAUGGCAUGUAUGCUUAUGCAUUUGGAAUUAAAUUAAACUGGAAUGAAAAAUAAAACAAAUAGUAGUAAGAACAAGGAUGCAAGUAGUUAAAAUGUUGUUAAUUUGAAUCUUUGUUACAUGAGUGCUAUAUGGCUUGAAGUUUAAGAGUAAUCAAAUUGAAUAAAAAAUCAUUUCGACCAUGAACAUGUGCACCGGGAAACUUGAAUAUUAAACCACUACGAUCGUGUAAAAUUAUUACCGAGCAAAAGCUUCAGAAGUUUGUUGUUCUAUAAAGAGAUUACACCCGCAUAGUUCCUCCGUCCAAUAAAAGAUGUCUCAAUUUUAACUAAAUAUGAAUGUAUCUAUACAUAAAGUCAUGUAGAUACAUUCAAAUUUUGACAAACUUGAGACAUCUUUUGUUGUACGGAGAGAAGUAGAAUUUAAAUAAUUUAGCUUUCAUAAGAAACCACCUAAUUACAGCGCAGUUACAGUGGCUGCGUUCUUUUCGGCUUUUAGGACCAGCUUAAGCUGACCUCACCUAGCUUCCUCUAGAAACCGCAUCUCAGAUUUAGCAAGGUUCCUGAAGUAGUUUAGGCCAAACUAGUUUGAUAGCCUAAUCAAAAUUUAGGUGCGGCUUUUCCAGGAAGCUGGGGGAGGGCAGCUUCUAGGAGAAACCAGUCCUAGAAGCCGAAAAGAACUGGUCCAGUAAAAUACAAUUGGUGCACUGCAUUUUAACCAAAUUUGCUCAUAGAGUUAUAGAUGUUGGUAGUUUUUCUAUAAACUUGGUUAAACUUUAAGAAGUUUGGCUUAUAACAAGUCUAGAUCAUUUUAUAUUUAGGAACGAAGGAAGCAUCACAUUAGGGAUCCCAAAUAUGGCCUCAUGCUUCCAAUCCAUGAAUCUUUUCGGUCUUUUCGCAAUUACAAAGCAUAAUAUGCACAUUUGCACAUCACACAAUCGUUCAAGUCUAGAGCACACAACACGACUAGAUUUGACGAUUCACGGUCUCACAAAGUUGAAGCAUGAGCCACCAGGAUGGCAUAUGCUUUUUGCAUUCAUCUUUCUUCUUAUAGUUAUACUCUCGUGGAAAAAAAUUCUCAAAAGAUGUAUUGAAUAAUUUCUCAAGAAAUGGAACUCAACAUUGUACGGGAAUAGAGUUGUACUACUCAUGAAAAAUUCUCAAAAGAUGUAUUGAAUAAUUUCUCAAAAAGUGCAACUCAAAAUCGCACAGGAAUUGAGUUAUACUCUCAUGAAAAAAUUCAAUAUUCCACUACUUUGAUUUACUCUUUUGCUCGUUUUAUCCCUGAACGCCUUCCUCUUUGAUGAUUUCUGAUUCGGCAUAGAUUGCACACUUUCUUGUGUCAACGGCCAGCACAAUCCAGCUGACAGUUCAUUUCGUUCCCAAUAUUCUGCUUGGUCAAUGCUCUCCUUUCGAUCCAGGUUUUCUGCUUGUCCAUUGCUCUCUUGCGACAACGACGAGCAUAAUAUAACUGAUUCUUCAUCAUGCAGAUCAAUUAGCAACUCAUUUUGAUCCGGUGCUUGACCUUGGUCAGUGGGUAAUUUUCUCUUCUUGAAUGGGUUGUUGUCAGGGGUGCUUUUUGGCCCCACUUCAUUACUCUCCACCGCCAGAGAGGAGUGCUUCUGCUGUAGAAAUUUGCCAAGGGCAAGGGUUCCUUUGUUGUGCUUUUGUUCACCAUUGGUAAUCUCAUCCACAGCAAAUGCUGCUCAAGAAAACAAGAGACAGUUAUGACAAGUCCUCAGAUAGAUUUGUUUCAAUGCAGUACAAACACAGUAGGGGGAAAAAGAUCACAUUUCUUUUCAAAAAAAUGAUAGUUUUGCUCAAACUCUGUGGCAACAACAAAUAAAUGAAUAGCUAUGCAAUGACUUGACAUACUUUUAAAAAGUAAAAGAGAACACUUGCCUACGAUGUUGCCUUUGCUUUUCUGGGAUGAACAGAUUGUAAUACAACUCUCUUGUGACAAAAUUUCCUGAGAACCAUGCUGAUUAGCAACAUUGAAUGUGGAGGUAUCGAUAAAUUCAAUGGGGCUGAUAGUUCUGGAGAAAUUAUCAAAUGCCUCCAUUGUAACUGGAUUCAAGUGCCCCUCUGCGAUUGCUCUUGCCAUUGAUGGGGCUAGCGCUCUUUAGAUUAUCAAGGAAUGGGCACUGUUAAGGGACGGAAAUAAACAAUAACUGUAAGAAACAUGGACGUGCCUUAUUACCACACUAUGUAAAUAAAACAGAUAAUCAUUAAUUCUAUGAAACUAUGCAUUCACUUUAGAGGUAACUUGUGUCUGCCUAACAAGCUAUGUUUUUCCCCUCUAAAUGGACAAGUUGUCUAAGAUACCAGCAAAUGGAUGUAUUAUUGUCAGAGAAGCAGCAUCAGUAAAAUAUCUACAUACAGAUGUCACAUGCUACAGCUCAUGAAUAAAGUGAAACAUUAAGGAUACGGUCCAAGAAUAUCCAGAUCUCCAGCCAAGUAGUUAAGAUAUUGUUCCUCCAAAGGUUUCAAAUGUUUGAGUGUCUUGCUUUUGACAUCAUAUCUGGGACAUUCGAAGGAGAGUGACUUGUCAAAUUGUACAGAACAGUGUCUUUUUGAAAUAGGGUUAUAAAAGAUGCACAGAGCUAAGACAAACACAAUCUUACACUCUAGCGUGAUUGAAUACUGCAAGAGUUUUCCAGAAUGAAUCGCUGUAAUCAUCUGGCACAGAAUACCGCUUGCCAAGCUUCAAGGUUGAUAAUACCUGGCAAUACUUACAUCAGAGAUGCUAGGGAUCAUGUUUGUUCAGGAGAAUAGAUAAUAUUUUCAGAAUCUGGUAUCAGAGAGCACAACACUAAUCACUAGUGUGCACAUUGUCGAGAAAUUACAAGGUACACCAUAAAGAAUUGUUUGCUUUAAUAAAAAAACGUGGCACAAUAUAUGUAACUAGAUGCAACAUGGUGUCUCUGUGAAACAUGACAGCAACUGUGCUUUGCACUUCUGCACAAAAUAAGUGCUGUUUUGCAAAUCAGACGUCACAUUUUUUUUCUUUAAAUGUUUGUUCGCUAGCAGUUUGACAAAUAUAUAGCAGUUGCUGUAAAAAUAUGUACUACCACACAAGAAACUUAUUUAAUGAUGGCAGUUCACUCUUGGUUUUAGUAAUAGUAAGAUACAAGAGACUUCCUCUUAAAUUAGGAUCACUCGACUAUUUUCUUUGACUUGGAUUCUACUUCUUUCUAACCUGGACAGGAGUCAUACCUUUACUGAAAGUCAAUUGCCAUUCAAACUAACUCCUGUAAACCAACCGAACUGGACGUGCCAGUUGGACUCUACUGCUGUGCUGCCACAGCCAUAGAAAGUACAAGUCCACAACAGUUUGUAUUGUUACUAUAGAAAAUAUGAUGUAUCACAAAUUCCCAGUGGCGACUGCAUCAUUUUUAGCAAAUAGCUCACAUGCUACAAAAUGGUAAUAACCGUGUACUUAAUCUACACUUUUAUAACAUGGGCUCUAGUAUAGUAAUUAAUUAAACUUUUGCAGAAAGUAUCCAGAGAGUACAUGAUAUUUUGUUUUGUAAAUAGCAUGAGAUAAGUAGAGAGUAGUUAUUCUUAGUUUCUUACACGGUCUAUAUUUUUGUAUUUUGAGAUGAGGGAAUAUGCUCUUUUAGUACCAAUGCCAGGAACAGAGGGAAGAAAGUCACAUCCUGCAAGAACACACAUACCUGUCCAAAUAAAUAUGUCAAUAAGAAACUAAUACUUCGGUCACGUAGUGCAGGGUAAGAACUGAGAAAGAUAUUAGAGAAAGGAAGGCCUGACUGCAUAGACCUCAAGAUACAGUAACUGGUCUAAGAGCUGAACAAAUCUAAGGUGACAGCAUGCACCUAUCUUUUGUACAGAGCAAGUUAAACUAGCAACUACUCCCUCCGAUCCAUAAUAAAUGUCAGGGAUUUAGUAUUGUACUAAAUCCCCGACACUUAUUAUGGACCAGAGGACUUUGUACUAAAUCCCCGACACUUAUUAUGGAUCGGAGGGAAUACAUGCUAUGAACAACAGGAAAAAAACGCUUCAAUAACAGCUGAACAAAUCGGUCAAAUUUGCCUCCAUACAGGCUUUUAAACAAUAUUCUAGUUCAAGUCUUCAAGAUAUAGAACAGUAGAAAUGGCAUUUACCAGUAAAAAGGUUUUGGUCGAAAUCCUUGAAAGAAAGACCAUCUUUUACAGUCUCCAUGGUUUUCUUCAUUAUGAACUCUUCACCAUUCCCGAAGCGAUCCAUCUUAAAUAUAAUCUAUAUAAUUUGACGUGCAUUAGAUAAAGUGGAGAAAUCCAAAACAUAAAUGAAUAUCAAAGUGAAUGUCUCACAGCAGUGCAACCAUAUGCUAUUAGAUCACUGUCUUCAGUUAUAACAGCAGCUAUGCCCCCUUGAUCAGCAUCUAGAGUAGCUAGAUAUGCCAACUGUGCAUCAGCUUCAUAUGGAGCAACCAAGAACUCAACAUUUUCUGACCUUAAAAUCUGACGUGAAAAAAGUUCAGUUUUUGCUACAUGAGGUGAAGAAUGGUUACGUGGAAGAACUUUCAAAGAAGCACCUGAAUCAGUUGAUAAGCCAUUGAUGGAGUAAUUUGCACAGCUUUCUGCAGAUGAACAGAGAUUAGGAUGCUUUUAGAAAACAUUAUGAAAGCCACAAUCAAAGUUUCAAAACAUCAUGCCAUAUCUCCUUAACAUGCAAGGAAACUAAGUCACAGGCUCAAAGGAACUUUUUUGGCUGUGUGCAUCGUUUUGAUGCAGAGGCCCGGAGAUCCCCUUUUCGAAAAAAAAGGCUCAAAGGAACUUUUGUGCUGGUUGUUUAUAUUGUUAAACACCGUGCAAAGGGUCUGAAUGGCAAGGAUUGAAAUGAAGCUAUAGACUGAAAUGGUGAACUUUUUAGGAAGAACACUAUUUCUUCUUCUAACUUAAUCAAAUAGGAGAAAACUACCUCGUUAUUUAAUAUUUAUACCAACUAACCACUAUUCUACAUUUGAACUUAUUUUUGUUUUCUCUUACAGGAUAGAACUAGGCUUCUGGUAAUAGAAAAUGGAUUUGAACUUCUUUUUUUGGCAAAACUCAUAUGUUCAAGCACAUGUCAACCAUACUUGUGCACCUUGUGCUUGCUCUUUUCUUCAAAAGAGAUACUCGUUGCACAUAAAAGGAAAAGUAAAAUAACACACAAUGUAGGAAAUGGAGCCAAGACAUUUGAAGUGUUUUUUUUACUUAAAAAUAUCUACUUCCCUGAGACUAGAAAUAAAAUACUACCUCCGUUCUGUUUACUUGACAUCCUAUAAUGUGUGCAAUUAACUUUUAAAUAAAUUUACUUAUAUAUGUAUAACUUUUUCGGAUUUAUCACAUGGAAAUGGUAUCAGUUGAUUUGUCACUGAAAGUCUCCCCAUGUUGCCUUAAAAAGAAGUUCGCCCAUUCAUUAUAAUUUUAAUAUAAUUGUUGCUGACAUAAGUCAAAUUUUAAAACUGAUACAUGAAGAUUUUAUAUUUUUCACAUAAAAAUAUUACUAUUAGACUUCCCAUCAAAAGUAAGCCUUACGUGCUGAAUGCUUGAUCAUAUCAAAUGUUCAGUAAUUUUCCUGUUCUGGUAAAUAUUGCAAGAAAACUGCUUACCCGGAAAAAGUCAAUGGCAGCAGCUGUAUUUCCUUGCUCAAGCUUUUCUUUUGCCAAUACCAAGCUGAGGUCCCUCUUCCUGAAUUUUAAUAACCAAGUGAAUUAUAAAACUACAGAUGGUUAUAGACAUUAUCACAUUAACCAUCAAAAAUCCAUCAAAAAAAUCAACAGAAGGCGAAUAUUGUAUUACUAUCGAAUCGCUAGUUGAUGGCAAAUAUGUACUCCCUCCGUCCCGAAAUAAGUGACGUGGAUUUGUACAAGGGAUUUAUAUAGAUUCUAAUACAAAUCCACGUCACUUAUUUUGGGACGGAGGGAGUACUAUCUAAACAUUAAGACUGAAAGUUAACUACUGAAAGGGACUGUUCCUGACGCCAACAGAAGUUCGAUUCUUAUUGUUUCCAUACAUGUUUCCAAUCUGAUGACCAACCAACUCCAUUGUUUUUUUAGAGAGAUUAACCAACUCCAUUGUGACCUUAAAACAAAGCUGUGCAAGGAGUUAACGCACAAUGCUAGUGUUGCAACAAUUAAAAUACCUCCCAUGCUAACAAAUCAUACAAUCUCAACUGAUCACACUAAGUUACUAGCUAACAGAUGAAAAAAAAGGAACUGCAUUUCUCAAGCAGAUGGUAUGACAGUUCGAAUAGGCAUACUUGUGCCUGUCUUUAUCCGUGGCCGACUUGCAGGGCAUGCUGCACCCGUCAAAGACGACGACGGGCACAACCUUAUGAUGCCGCAGGAGGUUGAUAUGGUGCAUGAAAUAGCUGAUGUAGCGCCUGGCACCGCCGCUCUUAGGGUCCAAGCACAGCUCCAUGCUGCAAGAAUAGGCUCCUUUGUGGAGCCAAGAGUAGGCAUCGAUACCGACCUGCCGACGCAAAGAACAAGCAGCGAUAAAUCCGAUAGAUGGAUGAAAUUGUAACAGAAAAAUGCGAGUGCAAGGUGAAAUAUUGGGGGAUCUAUUUACCCGUUGGCCGGCGUACUUCUUGAUGUGCACGGGCUCGAUGAAUGGCUUCAUGAAGCGGAGAAGAUUAGGGAUUCCCAUCAGUGCGACAAAAUAAUCAUAAGUCGAUUGGUUCUGGAUUUGUUUCGGCCUUUCGGGGGGAAAGAUUUGGCCGGGGAGAAGCAGAGAGGCGGAAAUGAGGACGACUAGCCUAACGAGGCACGAAGGGUUAUGAGGUCACUGACAAGUUUAGCGAAUGUGUGGGUCCCGCGAUACCCUGGGCAGUGAGCUUCGCGCGCACAGGAUUAGUUUCCCGCGCUUCCCCGCCUCCCGCGACUCUCAAACACACGUUCACCGCCAAAAGAAACUUAAGCAUAUUCUUUCUUUCUCUUAAUUUGUUGUGUUUAUUGCUAAGGACAGAACUAGAGCAGAGGCCUGCGCGCAAAUGAUCAAGAGCUAUUGGAUCCACGAAGACAGCCAGCUUGCAGCAUGGGUCUCCAAAGCUCCACUAAUGGCUCGUAACUAUUUGCACGAAGGUGUGCUACCCGUGCUGUGAAGCUAGAUUUUCCACUCCCGAUUACGAGUGAUUUUUUCUUCUCUCAAUUUCUCUCUCCUCUUCCGGACUAUCUCGAGAUCUUCCACAACCUUAAUGACUCAUUUUUUUAAUGUCCGCGGUGAAAUACGAAGGUAGGAUAGCAGGAGUAUUGAGUUCUUUUUUGACGGCCGGAUGAUUUGGAACCACAUGCCUACAUUAUCUUUGGAAUGGAGCUAGAUUUAUCUUACUUACUAUUUCUCCACCAUUAUAUAUUCGAUAUUAUCCAUGCAACAUCCCAUUGUUCCACCUUGUGCCUGCACUUUUGAUCAUGCAACUUUGCUCGCUUGAUACUUUCUGGUCAACACUCGAAAUUGUUUCUCUGCUUAUUGGUUUGGGCUGCUCGUGUUACUUGAACCACAACCAUUGUUGGAGAUAUGCUUUAUAGACACUCAUGUGAUGCUGGUAUUUUCUAUCUAAUCAUGUGUUAUGCAUGUUAUCUUGGAACACCAUCAUUCAUACGUAUCAACCAAUACGUGAUUUGUUUUUGUGAGGCCAUAUAUUGAUGAAGAUUGUUCUAAUGGUCUCUAGAUGAUCAGGUUAAUGGGACAAAUAUCCUUAUAUCAGUAGUAUACGAUUUGGUUUGAUGAUUAUACUUCACAAGUCAUGGACGUAGACGAUGCUAAUACUCAUGCGCGGAUAUCACUGAGUUAGAAAGAACUUUGAGACGCAACAAUAUGUUUGUCAUUUGUUAGUCUGGAGCAAGGUGUAUAUGCUAUGUCCUAGGCUUGAGGUCUUCACAUGUUCUCGAGACAUGAAUCAGCAUACUUAUGAGCUAUCAAAUGCUCCCCUGUAAUAGGUAAUUUUUGGAUAUCCCGUCCAACAUGUCAAGAUAGGAUUUGCCCCCCUCCCCCGACUUGGAUAGAUAACUUUGGGUCUCUCAAGUGAUAAGAUUCACAAAGCAAGUCCGUGCAUAUUUGAUUAUCAAUUAAUCAGGUUUCAAAAAUAUGCAUCACAUGUUUGACGCGAGAGGUCAAGCUUCCAACACGGAUUACAAGUAUUCGUCUAAUUUAACCCGACAACACAUAUAGCAUGACAAAAGUAGUGUUGCAUUUACCACGUUGUAUGAUUUGGCAUCACAAAUUUGCGAGCACUUGAGAGUUGGCGUGUUCUAGGAGCCGCUACCAGCUAUCAACUUGAAUUUGAGAACACUUGGAGCGAGUAGGGUACUCAAAGCCACAUGUGAGAACUUGGACUGACUUUAAGUCGUAUCCAAGUGAUCAUGACGUAUAGGGUCGUAGCCUUAUGAGUAAGGAAUCCACAAUGAUUGGAUCUAAGUGAUCUUUGUGUAUAGAGUCCUCAAGAGCCUCAAGUGUUGAGCAUAUUUUGGGAUGUUAAGUAGAGUAGAUCAACUCGUGAAGGGUUAUAGAAGACAAUAUGACACAGAUGUCAUCAUUCUUGCGCCCAAGAUGUGCCAUCGGAUUUCGCAAUCGGUCGCACGAAGUUUCUCCAUGUACAUGUGGAUACCUUGGAGGCUUGGCACCUGCCACACUCGACUACACUGCAUCAUUCGUAUUGUAUUAGGAGACCUGCUCGACGCAACAUGAAAUUCUACCAUAAUACAGAGGAGCAACCGCCAUACUGCGACUAUAAAAGGAUGGCCAGAUGCUCGCAAGAAGGGAGAGUAAUCAAGAGAUUGCAAGAGCCUACCAUACACACAUAAUCCUAACCCGCUGAGUCGCCAAAUACCCCAAUCGUAAACACUAUUGUACUUUAAGUGUCCGAUAAUCUCAACAAGACAUGAGUAGAGUUGUUACCCAAUCCGAGGUGGUUUAGACCUGUGUAAAUGUAUGUGUUAGUCGCAUCCUGAGAUUCUCCCCACGUCUAAACAAAUCACGUACGAGUACGUAUCAUAUCGAGGCAACAAGAUUUCAUCCCUUGACAAUAAAUAAAGGACAUGACCUUGCGGUAGGAAGGAGAGAACACAUAUUGCACCUUUUGAUUUCCAAUAUUGUAAAGUGAUGAUCUGUAAUGUUUUUUCCGGUAUAAAUAGCAUUUAAUAACAAUCAGAUAUGGAGUACAAGCGAUGUUUGUCUGAUUUUCUGCAUGUCUUAUAUUUCAUCCAUCCUGAAUUAACUGACGUGGAUUUGUAUAUCUAUACAAAUACACGUCAGUUAAUUCGGAACGUUGAUAAGGGGUGGCCCGAUCUUCUCAGAGAGCAACGUGGAUAACUUGUAUGAUUCUACAAAUCUUCUAGCUGUUCACCCGUCACCGCACGACGAACUUGCAACCCAAUGGAAAUUCGCAACACCACACACUUGCGCAGUAGUCCGCCAACCACAAGUGGUUUCGCAAUCUUCCAAUUCCCAGUAGAACGAGAGAUUAUGCUCGAAAUUUCAGUAGAUAAAAACACCUUAUCAAAACGAAUAUGGUGUGUAUAGGAUUCCAGAUGAAUGAUUCUCGCAAUUCAACAAAGUCUCGAAAAUAACUAAAACGUGGUCUAACCCUAACCCUAGGCGUACCGUGUAACAGCCCGAGAGCAACCCUUUUCCUUUAAGCCCUUUUGGAUUGUUUUGUAAUUUAAUUGUUGUCAUCAUCUAUCAUGCUCAUGUCAUCAUAAUUGUUUUGCCAUGUCAUUAACAUCAUGUCACAUGAAACCAUAUUCAUUGCACGAAGCUGUCUUUAAUGUGCUUGCCUUUUCGCGUGUUCGCGAAAGCCUAAAACUAUUUUUAUAGAAAUUCUAUUUUGGUUUGACAAAUUACUUCCGGGAUUAAUUAGACCUAGCCUCUCGUCUCUUAAUUUGUCACGAAAAUAUAAAUUGGUAAAACCUGUAUUUUUGUUUGAGACUUUUGUUGACCCAAAAGCCCAUUAAACCAAACCCUAUUUUUUUCUAACCUAUAAACCUAUCCUAAUCCCUUCUUUCUUUUUCUUUCUCUUUAUUUCUUUUCCUCAGCCGCCGCCAGCCUUCUCCCCUUCUUCUUCAUUCACCCAGGCGCCUCCCUCUCUGCCACUGCUCCAUCUCCAUGGCCGGCGCCCCCCCCCCCCCCCCUCUCUCUCUCUCCCUGGGCGAGCUCCCUUCCCCGCGGCCUUCUCCCCCGCCCGAGCGCCUCCUCUGUCCCGCGCCUGCCGCGCCACCAAGCCCCCUCCCCGCGGCGCCGCUCCGCCUCUUCCUGCACCGCCUCCCCUGCUCCGCCUCUCUGCCCCGCGCUCGCCCGCGCGCCCUUCUCCCUCUGCGCCGGAGCCGCCUCCUCCCGCGUCCGCCCCGCGCGCCCUCCUCUCCCCGGGCGUCCCUCGCUCCCCGCACGCCUCCGCCUGGCCGCCCUCUCUUCCUGCUCCGCCCUCCACCACGCGUGCCCACGACCACCUCCUCCCGGCCUCUGUUCCUAGCCGCGACGCCCGCCUGCCGUGGCCUCGCGCCGACGGCCUCCCUCGCCUGCUGUGAGCCGCCGGCGACCGCCUCCACGCACGCCGCCCGCCUACAGCGCUCCCCACCAGCCUCCUCUGCCUCCAGCCCGAAGGCCCGAGCAAGCCCGGCUCGUCCAAGCCCAAGCCAGAUCCAAGCGCAAGCCCGUGCCCUCUUUUCCUUUUUCUUCUUUUCCGAAAUAGUUAAAAUCUUGACGUGUGGGCCCUGCUGGUCAGCGCCUCCUGCUGUGUUGUCGUUGCUCCGCGUCGAGAUGCCUCGCUACUGCACGUGUUGCUGCCACACCUCAUCGGCACCGUGGAGACCAACAUCGCCUCGAACCUCCGGCCGACUACUUCGCCGCGACGACUACAUCGCUUACAUGAACAGCUACUUCGCCUACGACGACUAUGUGUACGACUAUCUUGACUACGUCGUCUACUUCCUCUACAUCGCGAUGUCGCAAUGAGUCCAAGGUAUAACGAGCGACCGUCCCGUGAACCGACCGUUCUUCGGCGUAGAUCCGUAGGUUGCGACCGAUGAUAUUCAUGUGUUGUAUGAGAUGCCGUGUAUGUACCGAUAGUAUCGAUAGUUGCAGGUACCUCGUUGGCGUGUGCAACCCGACCGAGUUGUUUGUUUGGUAUGUUGUUCUUGUUUUAAAGCAUGCAUCGCACCUAUUCAUGUCAUUCUCAUACAUGAUAAUACAACUAUAAUAUUAUUGUGUGUAAUUAACCAAUUAAACUCUAUUCCUUGCAUAUGGAGUUGUUUAGAGGCUAUGUGUAGAUGAUUCGGACUCCAUUUAACUUGGUGAUCGUAUAUCGGAUUUACUUUCGGGAUCCUUAAUAUGUUGAUGAGGACAUCCCAACUAAUGAUACAACCACAGCCCCUACAGCACCUACACCUCAAGUACCGGAGAUACAUGGACCAAUUACUAGAGCUCGUGCACGACAACUAAAUUAUCAGGUACUUUCGUUCCUCGGUACUUCAUUUAAUAUUAAUGAGAAUAUGCUGCUGCCUAAGAUGGGUUCUUUUAUGUGUUUUACGAAUGAAGGACCUAGCUUGGACCUCAAGGAUCAGCGUUGGGCAGCAAACCAUGGAGGUGGCAGCAAGGUGGCGGGAGGUAGCUCAAGUGUUGAUUUCAGAACAUUGAAACCGCCAUAAAGAGAUGAGAAGAAGGCCGCAUCCUCUUCAUCAAUGGGAUUUCGGCCAAGUGGAGGAUUCCCCCUCCAAUGGGUAUCUAUGGGCCAAAGAUGAGGGUUAUAACCUUGUUUUAUCGGGCCUAAGGCCAUGUAAUAGGGUCCAGCCAAUUUUUAGAUGUUUUCGUUGUGUUUUAGGAGGAUUCCUAGGCCGUUUCGGAGUCCCACAAGGGCCUGGCCGAAAACCACCUAGUUCCCCUCCUAUUUAUACCCCAUGAGCCCCCCUACGGAGCCUGGGGUUUUGAUUAGAUAAAGUUUAGCCUUUGCUACUUUCGUGUAAUCGCGUGUGUCGGUUAAACCACCUGUUUUACCGUCAUCAAGACUCCAACUAUAUUGAGUAUUCAAAUUCGUGAACCUUCAUAUCUCCUAUUCGCAAUUUCAGAUUGCUUUUCAUCUUGUUCUUACUUGUUCUUCGAUUGCUUGUAGGAACAAAGACUUUCGUGGUCAGGUUGAUCGUGCCCCUGCGGGGUCAAUAACCUUCUGGAGUUGGUGUAUCGAUCGCUAAGGCGCUGCCUCCUAGGUUGUAGUCGGAUCGUCAACGUCACCUCCUACCAAAUCGAUAAUUAGGUAUCUCAUUGAAAGAUCGGGACACCCUCGAGGCUAUCACGUGGUAUCAGAGCUUAAGGUUGCUCGGUGAGAUUUUUCCAGUUUAUCCGUAGUUUAGAUCUGUUUUUACCUAUCGUCCAGAAAAAGACAAACAAAAAUUAGAAUUAGUUGCCUUGUCCUAGAACCAAUCUGAGCCUUGCAAUUUUCACAUUAGUAUUUGCAUUGUUGAAUCUUUGCUGCAUUAAUCGUGUCGAGUUGCUGGAUUAGAUUGGAUCGUUUUCAGAUUUUUUUCUACUAGAUCGAACUUGCUUUUGGUUUUCUUGUUCUUCGUGUGACGCAGGUUUCUUUCAUCAAUCUUCCGCCGCCAAACUUCCUGCCACACCAUCGCCAUAAUCUCCCGCCGCCACCAUAUCUUCCACCGAGUCCCUCUUCGAGUGCUACACCGUGUCCCUCGUCGAGUCCUACACCGUGUCCCUCUUCGAGUUCUACAUCGAGUCGGCAAGUUAUAGUUUUCAGCCGCGAGUUCGAGUCCGAGUCCAAUCAAGAGUGCUUUUGGAAUGUGUUUCAUCAUAGAUCGAAUUUUGUUUAGAGAUCAAUUUGUUCGGAAAGUUGUGAAAAAAAGAAAGGAAAGAAAAAAAAAGGAAAGAAAGAAAGAAAAGAAAAUGAAAAAAAAAGAGAAAGAGUUCGACUCAGUUUCGGACCCAAGUCCGAGUAGAAUUUUAGUUUCGGGUGGGUUUGACCCGUGUUCAGUCAAACGGACGUAUCUUUUGCGUACCAACUCGAAUUUGGACGUUCUUGGACUUUUUGGAAAGCUCACGACGAGGUGCAUCAGGAAAUAUCCAGGACUUUCCCUUGCACUUUGACCCUCAAAUUCGGUUUGUAAGGUGGACUUUCGGAGCUUCCAAGUUUCAGCAUCCGUUUUUCGGCGUCGCUGCAGCCCGAUGUUUUUCAGUUUUCUCCACCGUCCGACAUCCGUUUUGAGUGAUCUUGCCCUUGCUGGAAAGUUUGUGUCGAUACGCUUCUAACCUAUAUUUUUCCAUAUUUUUCUGAAUUUUCUUUACUGCAGCCUUUGCGAUUUUUCGACAGACCGACGUACAGUUUUCCGGUCCUUCUUUUGCGUGAGUUUCUGGGGUUAAAAAAAAAGAAAAAGAAGAAGAAAAGAAUAAGAAGCCAAACAGAAGGCCACAAAAAGAAAAAGAAAAAAAAAUCCCAAGGAUUUACUUGUUGUGCCAUCUUUUGAUCUAUCUAUUACUACCUUCUUCAGUAUCUAAGCUUAGAUUAUUUCUGUAAUUCGUUCUUUUCGACUCCAGCAGUUAG
rnacentral:lncRNA from 1 species